AUGAUGAUAAACAACACCACAGUAAACCCAUUACAUGGCAGCGACACAUGCGAACAACAAUGAAAAUAGAUAUGUAACUUAUAUGAUAGAUAGAUUCAGAUUGCCUCUGGAUUAUGAUGGCAUACGACUAUGGGAUCUCGGUGCAUAUUGCGCACGGCCGAGGCUAAACAGGAGGAGAAUCAGAGAAAUACCACGGUUUGGUGAAAUUGUCAUCAGUCCCUUCUGUUGGAGCACUAGGAGUGACGGGAACGACGAAGAACUUGGGUUUCUUGAACACCAGGUGGCGAGACAGAGCCCUUAGGGGUUCCCUUGAGGAGCUUAAGCAGCUUUCGGCCUGUGCCACGAUCUGCAUCCGUCGGAUCGGCUAUUGUGGAUGUGGAGCAGGUGCCUGCGCCAGCUACAGGCCGAGACGCGCUCAUGCCGGAAGCGGCAUGUGCAGGAACGGGUAUGCAGGCACCGGUGGGGUGUCGCCGGCGGGCGCUUCAAAGGGGAAGGGAAAUUAAACUACCAGCUUGGGCGGCGGUGGAGGCGGUGCUGUGGCGUGGUGUGGAAACGUAACGACAUGAAAGAGCGGUGCGUCGUGACCGUGACUGCGGUGCCUCGGUGCAGAGAUCACCUCCUUAACCAGUCUGGCCGGCGGAGGGUAGGAGAAGUUGAGCUUUGCCUUUGCGCCCUUCAGCUCCCUUGCCGCGAGGUCGUACGCGCACGCGGUGACCUCGGGGGACUGGUAUGUCCCCAGCCACAACAACGUCUUCGUCACCGGGUGCGUCAUAGUUGCGGCGAACUUGCCAUCCCCCUUCUUUCUCACCCCAGUUAACCUGCUGUUCUCACCCCCCGCUGUGGCUGCCAUGGCGUCUACCACAGUCGAACGGAGGUGGAUGCCUGGUGUGCAAGACGAUGGGGGUUUAAUAGUGGGUCACCAGCCGCCGGCAUCAAGCCAUGCGUUCGCGUACGUACGUUUCAGGCUCACAGGAACCACGCCGCCUCGCCAUGAGCAAAGAGUGGUUAUUAACCCUGACAAAAAAAUAUAUAUCAUGGCGUGCACGUAUAUAACCGCCUUACAGCUUGCAUUGUUCCUUUUCACUUUUGUUUGGUUGUAUUUCGCUUAGCAUAUACUGUUAUACCACUGGUGGAAAAAGGGCCUUUGGUCGCGGUUCGCAACUGCCAUUAGUCGCGGUUGCGCAACCGCGACCAAACAGGCGCGACUAAAGCCCCCCCCCCCUUUAGUCGCGGUUGUUUAAGAACCGCGACUAAAGGCCCGUCCACGUGGGCGCCAGGCGGCCGUCGGGGCGGAGGACCUUUAGUCGCGGUUCUUCUGGCCAACCGCGACUAAAGGCCGCCGCAGGUUUAGGGUUUUAGCCCCCCCUAAACCUGUUUUCUGUUUAAUUUGUAUUGUUUUAUUUCUUUUGUGCUUUAUUUUAAUUUUGAAGGAGUUUGACAUAUUCUACGGUACUACAUACAUGCAUAUGAAUGUACAAUUUCAAACAAAUUUGAAAUUAGAACCAAAAAGAAUUCAAGAGGAAUAUACAAUAUAUAUUCAAUAUCAUCGGAUGACCAUAUACAAUUUUCAACAAGUUUCCAUACAUAAUUUAAUGCAUAUAAAGUUCUACGUCCUCGUAAUGGUGUUCUCCUUUAGGAUGGAGGACUUCCCUCCUGAACCAUCCAGCUAGUUCCUCUUGAAGUGGUCGGAAGCGAGCUUCUGGACUAAGCAUCAUCCGGAGGUUAUUCCUCUGAGCAUUUGUAUCACUCGGAACCCGCCGCUCAGAGGUGUAUCUCCGGAUCAUCUCACAGACAUAGUAUGCACAUAGAUUGGUCCCCGCUGGCUGAAUAUCCUCACCAUUCUUAGCCUUUGACCUUUUGAAUUCUAGCUCUUUUUUGAAUUCACCGACCUUUGUAUCUACGAACCGUCUCCAAACCCUACGAGGCAAAGAAAAUUAAAUGAACAAGAGAGUUAUUAGUUACUUGAUAUUAGGAAAUGAACGAAAUAGGCCGAUCGAUAUAGAGCGCAAAUGAAUGAAAAUAAUUACUUCUGCAGCAUUCUUCUCAUGCCGCCCCAAAGCUUUGGAUCCUUAUUCAGAGAGUCGUGGACGAGACAUUCUGAGGUGUCAACUUUAAUUACUAGCAGAAUCCAGUGGAACCUGCGGACACGAUACAUGCAUAGUACGUCAUGCAUAACUCAUCGAUUAGCCGGCCACAUACCAUGCAUGGAGUAAACAAAAGAGAAUGUGCUCAAGACAGAAACACUCACCCAAAAUGGUAAGGAAAUAGAAUAUCACUUUUGAGUUCCUGCUUUGUAAGAAACUGCCACAGGUCUGCCUCCAUGUCGGCGGGGUGAUGCUCCAACACAUAUCCAUUAACGAUGUGUGGGUCAAUGAACCCAACAUCAUGGAUGUUCCUUACUCUGCAUUUCUUAAUCUUCAUUCUGCAUGUAUAAUAGCGGACACAACAAUAUAGUUAGGACAUAUAUAUAGUGCAGGCAAUAUGAACGAGAUGGGGUAGAAAUAAAUCACUUACAGAACGUAGCAACUGAUGAUAGAUUUGUCGAGCUCGCGCAGAUUGAAAAGCUGGAACAAUUCACUCAGAUGAAUUUGUACAUAGUAAUGUUUGAAGUGAUGCUCAUAUCUAACUUCCGCAUAAAUAUAUUCUUUGGCGUUUUUAUUUUUUAUGUAACCCUUGUACCAUUUCAGCAGACCUUUCAUUUGUGGAGGUAGAUCCUCUUCCUGCGCAGGCUCGACGAGAGGCCCAUUCUUCACAUAUGUAAUUACUACCUCCUUCACUGGCGCCUCAUCAAGGCCUAACAGUUCACGAAGAGUAAUACCUAAGUUGGCCGCUUGUUCUCUGGCACUCGUUACAGUCAAUCCAUGUGCUGCCGCAGCUGCUAUGAUAUCGGGGUCAUCCGGACCGGCGGCUUUCACUAUAAGCGGGGCAAUCGAUUGUUUACUUUGUUCCCCGAGCUGGGCAACUCAUUUCCCGCUUUUUUACUUUCUAAUUCCGUUUUCUCGGCCUCCUCCAAGGCUUUGUUCUCCUGGUUCUCCGCCCGCUCUUUCUUCUCCUUCAACAUGAGUGCCUGCCUACGAAGUUCACGUGCAUAGUCGUCAGGCAGAUUCUUCGCGGCUUGGGACGGUGUGCUCAAAAAUGACUUAGCCCACUUCUUUUGCUCAUCAGAAAAUACUGGCUUGGGCUCGGGCUCACUUUUCUUCUUGCAGUCCGCCUUCCAUUUCUCAUGAUCAGCAGCCGCGGCCGCGGCAGUUUCUUCGGCACUACGUUCCCAAGGCCUUGUGGGGAGAGGCUUCAGUGAUGGCUCCGGUACCUUUGUGGUCUUAGGUACAUAAGGGUCCGAGUUAAUAAUCCAGGACUGCUUCUGCUUCUUUGCCGGAGGUGGAUUGGGGGGCGGCGUCUGAUCACCCGCCGGACGAGGACUGGGGCGCGGCGUCUGAUCACCCGCCGGACGUUGUGGACUGGGGGGCGUCGGCUGACGUGACGGAGGUGUAGGUGAACCGCCACCACCACCACCACCGUAGGGGGGUGGACUUGUUGUCCUUGGCGCCUCGCCUGGAAACUUGAUAAACUUCUUUUUCCAUAGAAUGAAAUGGCGCUUGACAUCUCCAAGUCUUUUCUCCCCUUCAGGUGUAGCAAUGUCAAUCUCCAGGUCCUCAAACCCUUGGACUAUGUCCUCCACCGUGACACGAGCAUAGCCAUCUUGAAUGGGGUUGUUGUGGUGGAGUGCUCCAGGUAAACAUGGUAAAGCACUGCCGAUGGCUACCUUCAUGGACAUGUUCCCGAUAGGAUAAUACAGAUGACAUUCUUUCAUCUCCUUUAUAUCGUCCACGGGGUAGCGAGGAGGCUCCGGUGCAGUAAUUUCGACCACCAGAGGCUCCGGUGCAGUAAUUUCGACCACCAGAGGCUCCGGUGCAGUAAUUUCGGUCGUCGGUGCAUCUGCACCAGCCGAUGGGGCCUCCGUGGAAGCCACACUGCUUCUCCGCUGCUGGCUUCUGAGAUCCGCUGGAUGAUCUUCAUGCUGCGCCCGAGCUGCAUCUCUUUUGGCUACUAGUACACUCACGGUUUUCUUCAUCACAUCCAUAUCCGAUGCCAACCGCGCCACAACAUCUGCUUCCCGAUCCAUCUUUUUCUUCCGGCUUCUGUAACCGUACGGGUCAUCGUUCUGGGGGAACCCUAUUUUCCACGGAAUGUGCCCCAUGCCUCGUACACGUCCUCCGUGUUCAGGAUUCCCGAGGGCUUUUGUCAGCGCGUCGUUCUCUCUAUUGAACUUGAUCUUCCCCUCUUGAGCAUCCCUCAUUGCGUCAAUAAGGGCUUGGGUGGGUUUAAUUAUUUUGCCCCGGUAAACACACUCCCCUGUCUCCGGGUUCAGCGUUCCCCCAUGCCCGUACCACCAGCUUUUGGCCCUUGGGUCCCAUCCCUCCGUACCUGGACGGAUUCCUCGCGCCCUCAGCUCGUUCUCCAUCUUCUCCCACCUAGGCUCCCAAAGGCGAUACCCUCCUGGCCCCAUAAUAUGAUUGUACUCCUUCUUAGCCGCAUUUUCCUUAUUUUUUUCGAUAUUUGAAUGAACUGCUCCGAUUUCUUUUGCUUCACAAAUUCUGGCCAAUCAUGUUUGAGCCACGAGCGAUAACCCCCGCCUGCGCUAUCCUCAGUUCGAGCCACGAGCGCCGCCCGACGACAGCGACGACAGCAGCGACGACGACGGCGGCAACUUAGAAGGCGACGACUACUAGUACAACGGCGGCGGCUAUGAAGACUACGAGUAUGCAUAUUAUACGCCUAGGCAGGAGUAUGACUAAAUCACUCCAAAUUUCAUGUAUCAUCAGUGGUAUCUCGAAUCAUUCGGAAAUGGACACCAAACACAUCACGGGUAAUAUAAUUCACAUGAUCCAUUCAACAAAGUUUGGUACAAUAAAUUAUUACACAUCAUUUCUUCCCUUGUGUCCCUGCUUGCUUACGAUUGUGCCGUAUCCAUGGAGCAUCCUCAUCAUUUAACUUAAUGCUUGGGUCGGUGUUCACUUUGAAGGGCGGAAUUUCAGCAAACAUAUUAUAAUCUUCUGACAUGUCUGUCUUGUCCUCCACUCCCACGAUGUUUCUUUUCCCUGAAAGAACAAUGUGGCGCUUUGGAUCAUCGCAUGAUGUACUGAUCGUUUUCUUAUCUUUCCGUUUCCUCGGUUUGCUACUCAUGUCCUUCACAUAGAAAACCUGAGCGACAUCUUUCGCUAGGACGAAUGGUUCGUCAAGGUAACCAAGAUUGUUGAAAUCCACCAUUGUCAUUCCGUAUUGCUGGUCCACCUUUACCCCACCUCCUGUUAGCUUGAACCAUUUGCACCGGAACAAAGGGACCUUAAAGGAGGGUCCAUAGUCAAGUUCCCAUAUCUCCUCUAUGUAACCAUAAUAUGUGACCUUUUGACCAUUCUCGGUUGCUGCAUCAAAGCGGACACCACUGUUUUGGUUGGUGCUCUUUUUAUCUUGGGCGAUCGUGUAAAAUGUAUUCCCAUUUAUCUCGUACCCUUGGAAAGUCGUUAUAGUCGAAGAUGGUGUCUUGGCCAACAUGUACAGCUGAUCUACAACAUCAUUGUCAUUCAUUAAAUGUUUUCUCAACCAACUGCCGAAAGUCUCCAUGUGGGCCUUCCUAAUCCAGGAUUCAGGCUUCCCCAGGUUGUCCGAGCGUAAAAUAUUCUUGUGUUUCUCAAAGUACGGAGCCACCAAGCUGGAAUUGGUCAGUACAGUGUGGUGUGCUUCAGUCAGAGAAUGGCCGUCCAUACAUAUCGUUGAUUUCCUUCCGAUCGUGCCUUUUCCACUUAGUCUCCCCUCGUGCCGCGAUCGAGGAAGACCAAUCGGCUUAAGCUCAGGAACAAAGUCAACACAAAACUCAAUUACCUCCUCAUUUCCAUAGCCCUUGGCGAUGCUUCCUUCUGGCCUAGCACGGUUACGAACAUAUUUCUUUAAUACUCCCAUGAACCACUCGAAGGGGAACAUAUUGUGUAGAAAUACAGGACCGAGAAUGAAAAUCUCUUCGACUAGGUGAACCAAGAGGUGCGUCAUAAUAUUGAAGAAGGAUGGCGGGAACACCAACUCGAAACUGACAAGACAUUGGAUCACAUCGUUCUGUAACCGUGGUAGAUCUUUUGGAUUGAUUACCUUCUGAGAGAUUGCAUUGAGGAAUGCACAUAGCUUCACAAUGGCUACUCAAACAUUUUCCGGCAGGAGCCCCCUCAAAGCAAUCGGAAGCAAUUGCGUCAUAAUCACGUGGCAGUCGUGAGACUUCAGAUUUUGGAACUUUUUCUCCGCCAUGUUUAUUAUUCCCUUUAUAUUGGACGAGAAUCCAGACGGGACCUUCAUACUGCUCAGGCAUUCAAAAAAGAUGACCUUCUCUUCUUUGGUCAGAGCGUAGCUGGCACGACCUUGAAACCAUUCCGGAUGCCGGUCAUCAGGGUCUUUCAAACGUUGCUGGUCCUGCCGUGCUUCCUUUGUAUCAUUUGUCUUCCCAUACACGCCCAAGAAGCUUAGGAGGUUCACGCAAAUAUUCUUCGUAACGUGCAUCACGUCGAUUGCACAGCGGACUUCUAGGACUUUCCAAUAUUCUAGCUCCCAGAAUAUAGAUUUCUUCUUCCACAUGGAUGCGUGCCCGUCAGCUCCUUUCGGAACUGAUUGUCCGCCAGGACCCUUUCCAAAGAUGACUUUCAAAUCCUUGACCAUAUCAAAUACCUCAGCACCAGUGCGUUCCGCAGGCUUCGGCCGGUGAUCUGCCUUGCCGUUGUAAUGCUUGCCUUUCUUUCUUACUGGAUGAAUUUUCGGAAGAAAUCGACGAUGCCCAAGGUACACGUUCUUCUUACAAUUUGGCAAAUGUACACUUUCAGUCUCAUGUAAGCAGUGCAUGCAUGCAUUGUAUCCCUUAUUUGACAGUCCCGAAAGGUUACUAAGAGCAGGCCAAUCGUUGAUGGUUACGAAAAGCAAUGCUCGUAGGUUAAAUUCCUCUUUUUUGUGCUCAUCCCACACACGGACACCAGGUCUGCCCCACAGCUGUAAAAGUUCAUCAACUAAUGGCCUUAGGUACACAUCGAUGUCGUUGCCGGGUUGCUUCGGACCUUGGAUGAGCACUGGCAUCAUAAUGAACUUCCGCUUCAUGCACAACCAAGGAGGAAGGUUGUAGAUGCAUAGAGUCACGGGCAAGGUGCUAUGGCUGGAGCUCUGCUCGCCAAAAGGAUUCAUGCCAUCUGUACUUAGACCAAAUCCUAUGUUCCUUGCGUCAGCUGCAAAAUCUUUGAACUCUCUGUCGAUCUUUCUCCAUUGCGUUCCAUCUGCGGUGUGUCUCAACUCCCCGUCCGACUUACGGUCCUCUUUGUGCCAUCGCAACAACUUGGCAUGCUCUUUGUUCCUGAACAGACGUUUCAACCGUGGUAUUAUAGGAGCAUACCACAUCACCUUGGCGGGAACCCUCUUCCUGGGUUUCUCGCCCUCAACAUCGUCACCAGGGUCAUCGCCUCUGAUCUUAUAACGCAAUGCAGUGCAUACCGGGCAUUCAUUCAAAUUCUCGUAUUCACCGCGGUAGAGGAUGCAGUCGUUGAUGCAUGCAUGUAUCUUCAGAACCUCUAAACCUAGAGGGCAGACAACCUUCUUUGCUUCAUACGUACUGGCGGGCAACUCGUUAUUCUUUGGAAACAUAUUCUUCAACAUUUUCAGCAAGUUUUCAAAUGCCGAGUCAGCUACACCUGCCUGUGCCUUCCAUUUCAGCAAAUCCAGUGUGCAGCCCAGCUUUUUCAGACCAUCAUCGCAUCCGGGGUACAACGACUUUCUGUGAUCCUCUAACAUGCGAUCCAAAUUCUCCCUCUCCUUUUCAGUUUCGCAGCGUCUUCGUGCAUCAGCAAUGGUCCGACCAAGAUCAUCAACGGUCUCAUCACGUGCCUCUUCUUCACCUUCACCUUCCCCUUCACCUUCCCCUUCACCUUCAGCAUCCUCCAUGAAAGUAUCACCGAAAUGAGCAAGAUAGCUUUCAUCGAUGAAAUCAUCCCCUUCUUCAUCUUCUUCCAUUAUAACCCCUCUUUCUCCAUGCUUGGUCCAACAAUUAUAGCUUGGCAUGAAACCGUGCCGAAGCAGGUGCAGGUGAACUUCUCUUGAGGAAGAGUAACCCUUCUGAUUCUUACAUUCAACACAUGGACAGAUAACAAAACCCUUCUGCUUGUUCGCAUUAGCCACUACGAGGAAAUCUUUCAAACCCGUAGUGAACUCGCGGGAGAGUCGGUUACCGUACAUCCAUUGCCGAUUCAUCUGCAUUAUUAUAAUAUAAAAUACAUAAUUAACCAUCAUGCAUUUGUUAAACUAACUAGCUAUAAACAAUAGAAAUUAAACAAUGAACAACACACAUGCAUAUUUUAUCAAUGACACACAUGCAUGAAAGGUUCAAGUUGCUAACCGCGAUCGAGGAGGAAAAAAUAAAUGAGGAACCUCAAGUGUGGCUCCAACACUUCAUAUCAUGUUUGUUUCACCCUCUUGGGGCAUUUCAUCAAACACCUUGUGUGCAUAAGAGGAACCAAAAGCAACCCUACACCCCCUUGUGAAGCUUGUGAAGAGAAGUGGCACCAAAUGGCUAAGUGAGCGUGCUGAACUGGUAUAUAUAGGGGAGGAGCUUUAGUCGCGGUUGGCCUGGCCAACCGCGACUAAAGCCCAUCACGUGCACCAGCUGGCCACCGAGCGCCCUGGGCCCAGGCCUUUGGUCGCGGUUCGUCUGCCGAACCGCGACUAAAGACUUCAUUAGUCGCGGUUCCUACAGUUUCGCGACUAAUGGGGCUGGACGGAAGCCUCUUUUUCUACCAGUGUACAUACACUGCUUUCUCGCUGAUUAACAUAACAAAAGAUAUAUGCGACGGCCUGUACGUAAAGCGGUCAAGCACACUAGAACAGCUUUCAUUGCUGAUUUUACUACUUACGAUGGCGAGUCCUCGGUCGAAAAGCGCCGCAUAGGCGCACGUUACACGUCAGUCAAGCUUAUCAUCUGAUGCACCAGAUGGGAUGAGACCUAGAUUACGUGGGCUUAGCUGAUGUGAACCACACUUUUCUGCUGCUUAUACAUGUAUUUUGUGAAGUUUGUCUUUUCUUAAACGGACGUUGCAUUUUCUUCUAAUGUAUUUCUUUCCAACGUGGUUAAGCACCAAUGUUAAGUUAGAAAUUUAUCGGUUUACAGAAUUUUCAAAGUAAAUUAUUUUUUCUGAUAAAAACACAUUUCAAGUCAGAUUGUUAGAUUAAUAUUAGGUAUCUCCAAAAAGUCUUAUAGCAUUGUAGAGUUUUUCAAGAAUAAAGACUUUCGGGUAUCUUCAACGCUAUCCCCUAAAACGGACCUAGUAUCCAACCACGACAGUGAUACACGAGCAAGCCAUCCAACCCUAUCCAUCAAACAUCCGAUCACAUUUUAAACGGUAUUUGAAGAAACCGGACGAUCAUUUAAAUUGGACCAAUUUCAUGACAUUUUAAACAUAUUUCAUUUAACAGAAGUGUACAUGACAUUUUUUAACAUAAAUUUUUAGCUUAGUCGAAAUUUUUGCCAGCCGUGGAAGCGUCCAUGUUCCAUGUCGAGCAUCUUUGCCGGUCCUGAGCUCUGCGAAAUGAAGCUGCUAGUCGCCGGCGAGGAAGAGUAAGACAUGGGCCACGGACAUGCCCACAAGGAGACAUACGUGUCCGUCUCCCAUGUGCUAGUCUUCUUUGUCGAAUUCCGCCGCUUGGAUGUCGCGGACGUCGCGGUCGUUGUGGCUCAAUGGGAACCGCGGGUGAUAGGAGCUGCCGAUGUUUCCGUUCACAAUCGCAUAACCCGCCACGUCCGCCUCCUUCGUGUUUGCGUUGCAUCCGUCCCCGCCAUGAUCUCCUUGACGCUGCGCGUCUUCGACGCCAGUUCGCGAUGCGGAAGAGAAAUUUCUGGUGGAAUUGGAGGCUCUGAUUACCAGAUGACACGGAUCUAUAGUCUAGAGAACUGGAUUCACUCUUGCGGGCUCGAAUCAAGGAUACAAGUGUUUAGGGUUCCUAGAAGAGGGGGAUCGGGAUGAGAGAGCCAGGGAAGGAGGAAGAUACAUCGCCCAACGUCGCCGCCAGUCUGUGAUCCAACGAUACCCUAGCCAGUGGCUUGUCUCGUCUUAAGUAGUCUCACUUGCUCCACACUGGCCCCGUCACUUGUCGGUUGGGCUUGGAGAUCCUCUUGGGCCGGGCUGGUGAUGCUGGGAUUUGGCCUCCAGUGGUUCCCAUGACAUUCCCUCCCCCUUGCGACUUGGCUUGUCCCCAAGCCAAAGCUCGUGGAAAUCUGGCAUGGAGAGGUACUUCAUCUUCCCAGGAAGCCAGCGACACUGGAAAUCCAGACCAGUGGACUAGCACUUGCGGUACCUACCGUACUCCGCGUUGUAUGUCGCGGCGUUAAAUGAUGGCUACUGGUACUUGGAAGGGUAGAAGAUCCUCGUCGAGAACGGGCAACUCCGGCAUGAUUUGUGUGUCCGGAGGCACGCCUGCGCGAAGCUGGGAGACGUGGAUGACGGGGUGGAUCUUGGCCUGCUCCGGCAGCGCCAGUCUGUAUGCGACCUCGCCGACGCGCCCAGUAACCUGAAAUGGACCAAAGAAACGAAACGCUAGCUUGUGGUUAGCUCGAGCCGCGACCGAUGAUUGCGCGUAUGGUUGCAGUUUGAGGUACACCCAAUCCCCAACUGCGAACACUCGAUCCGAUCUCUUCUAGUCCGCUUUGGCCUUCAUCACUUGGCGAGCGCGGUGCAAAUGUUGCUUCAGGGACUGCAGCACUGUUGCUCGGUCUUUUGUCCACGCCGCCAGAUCAGACACUUUAUCAUCCACGAUGUUGGUGAUGCCGAAGAAUUGGGGUUUGUGGCCAUACAGUACCUCGAAGGGAGAGGACUUGAGCACAGAGUGGUAUGAAGUGUUGUACCAGAACUCCGCCAACGCCAGCCAGUCAGCCCAUUUGCUCGGACAAUUGUGGACGAAGCAUCUCAAGUACAGCUCCAUACAUUGGUUGACUCUCUCAGUAGUCCCGCCGGUCUGCGGGUGCCGUGCUGAUGAUAUAUUCAGUGUGGUCCGUGUCAGCUUGGCCAGCUCUUGCUAUACCCUGCUAGUGAAGAUGCGGUCCCGAUCUGAAACCAUCUUGUCCGGGGGUCCGUGGAGCUUGAAAACGUUCUCCAUGUAUGCUUUAGCCACUUGCAGUGCGGAGAAUGGGUGCCGGAGUGGAAUGAAGUGAGCAUACCGUGUCAGCUUAUCCACGACCACCAGGAUUGAGUUGUAGCCCUUUGAUCUUGGCAGACCUUCUACAAAGUCCAAGGUCACCAUUUCCCAAGCCUGCUCUGGUAUGGGCAGCGGUUGGAGGAGGCCGGGAUACUUGACAUGCUUUGGUUUGGGUAGGGGGUCCCGAACUGUGCGUCUAGGCGGAUGGUAACAGGAGACCGGGGACACAAUGUUUUUACCCAGGUUCGGGCCCUCUCGAUGGAGGUAAAACCCUACGUCCUGCUUGAUUAAUAUUGAUGAUAUGGGUAGUACAAGAGUAGAUCUACCAUGAGAUCAGAGAGGCUAAACCCUAGAAGCUAGCCUAUGGUAUGAUUGUCUGUCCCUAUGAACUAAAACCCUCCGGUUUAUAUAGACACCGGAGAGGGCUAGGGUUACACAGAGUCAGUUACAAUGGUAGGAGAUCUACAUAUCGGUACCGCCAAGCUUGCCUUCCACGCCAAGGAAAGUCCCUUCCGGACACGGGACGAAGUCUUCAAUCUUGUAUCUUCAUAGUCCAAGAGUUCGGCCGAAGGUAUUGUCCAGCUAUCCGGACACCCCUAAUCCAGGAGUCCCUCAAUAGCCCCCGAACCAGGCUUCAAUGACGACGAGUCCGGCGCGUAAAUUGUCUUCGGCAUUGCAAAGCGGGUUCUCCUCCAAAUUCCGUGUACCUGUUGAAUAAUGUCCGGUUUCUUGUAAAUGUAGCGCUCCUUGGCUUCUACGCCCAAUAAUGGCCGUCUUCCACGUGUCAAACGAAUACGAAAAGUCAGGGUGUUUUUACAUUUACACCCCUAGCCGCGUGAAUGAGCCGUCUAUUUAAGGGUAGAUCCAAACCACACCUUCUCCCCUCCGCGAGUAUUUAUCAGAGCGUAUCCGACAGAGGUCCAUUCUAUCAUGGCCAGCCGCCGCAGCUCCUCCUCUCGUCCUUCCAGCCCUCAGCCUGGAGAUCGGGAGAGAUGCUCCAUCCCGCACAGCGAGCUAGUGACGCUCCAGACCAAGGGAUUUCUCCCCCCUGGCCUAUAUGGUCCCGGUUCGAGCCGGACUUGCCACCUAUAAUGGAGGAGAGCAAGCGGAGAGCACCCCCAAUCCCUCCAAAGGAGAGCGGGUAUGCCUUGUCCCUUACUUAAUAAGAGGGCCCAGAUUUCCAAUUCAUCCGUUUCUCCGGGGGCUCCUGGAGUUCUAUGGCCUCCAGCUGCACAACCUCACGCCUGCCUCCAUAUUGCAUAUCGCGGGCUUCGUAGCCCUUUGCGAGCUGUUUUUGGGCUGCGAGGCUCAUUUCGUGCUGUGGAAAAGCCUAUUCUGCCUUGUGCCCCGUUCUCAGAAGGGGUCAAUAUAUCAAGUGGGCAGAGCCGAAGUGCGGCGCAUCGCCGGGACCAGAUAUCUAUUCGGAACCACAAAGAAGGCAUCCGAGGACUGGCCUUCGGAAUGGUUUUAUAUAGAGGGCAUCUCGUUGCUGAAUCUUGUCCGGAUUGGCCUCCCUGAGUUCGACAGUGCUCCCCUAAAGAAGCGCCUAAGCUGGCAUCCACGGAGCCCUCAGAGGGAAAGUGACAAGGACGUUAUUUAAUUGAUGGGCCAGAUAAGAUUGUUAGCUCAUUCCGGACUAACCAUGAUCGGGGUCAUGGCCACAUGCAUCAUGCGAGGGGUGCAGCCGCUUCAGUAUAGAGGCCACCCCAUGUGGAACUUCAAUAGGGAGGACGACGCCACCCGCCACGGCCGUAAGGGGCCGGAUUCGGCUGCUGCUCUAAUAAAGAUCGUGUCCGCUUGUACAAGGGAGAAGAGGAGGAAUUUCUCCACGUUAACCCAUAGGGUGGAUUAUCUAUGUACAAUCCCCCAAGUUGGGUAAGUGGACACUUUUACUUGCCCAUUCGUUUUAUAUUCCCAUCGUUAAAUAUUCAGUCUAACGACUUCAACGCAGGAACUGCGCCAGGCUGUUAAAGAAAUAAACAGCCCUCCUCCACAACCCGAGGAUCCGGGACGGUCCCUCGACCCAGCCUCUCAAGAGGAUCCGGACUUAUUUGUGGAGCUGAUUGAUGGGGUGUUUCAUCAAUUGAGCAAGGACAACGUCUUGGUGGCCAUUACGGUCGAUUACCCAGGGCUACUCCCAGCCUCACAGGUAACUGAGACCGAAGUCCCAGCACUUUGAAAAGGGAUCUAUCCUCGCAUGUUUUUGAUUGCCGUAUGACAACCGUGUUUUGCCGGGGAGGUCCUUGAGACGGGAGGCCGAGCCUGCGGCGACUAGCCAACGAGGGGCGGCAAGGCCCCGUGGGCUGAAAAGAAGUGCGGUCCGGACUGAGACGCCGGCGCAAAGGUAUAGCGAGCCUUCUUAUUCCCAGGUGUUAUUCCUUCAAGGCAUAUUAACGCUCGUGCUUUCUUCAGGACGAAGAGACCUCACCGGACUAUAUCCGAAGAGGUUUCCAAUUGCGCCUCCACCAGCCAGGCUCCAAAGCCUGGUCCGGAAGCGGAGGAGAACACAAGGCGCGCACCGGACGCUCCUCCGAGAGAGGAUGCGGACAAGCUGUCUGCCACCAAUUCCGAGGUGGAGAGUGCCAUGAACCACAGGCGUCGCCGGACAAUUCUUCGCGUCGCUUGUUUCUCCCAAGAGGCAUUGGAUGCCUUCAAUUCGGGAGAUGCGUACCUCCGUGCCGCUCAAAAUGGUCUAGCCAGAGCCACAGAGCAAUAUGUAGAAGACAUACGGGUAAGAAAAUUGUGGUAAUUAUAUAUAUACCAGUAGCCCCCGAGACUUGAAACAGUUAGAAUAACUGAUUUAAGGAUCAUUUGUUAUGCAGGUUCUUACAGAAAAGAAUACCCUACUGUCCCAGGAGCUGGAAGAGUGCAAAGCUUAACUUGAGGCCGCACUAGCCAUGGCAGGGGAGCCCAAGGAGACCCCCUCUGGUAAUAUACGCUUCGAAAGAUAAGUAUUUUGCGAAGUGCAGCGUGGGUGCAAAUCUGACAAAUGAAAUUGCAGAUGGCGCCGUAUUAAAUCCGGAAAAGCAACAACUCCUACGCUAGCUGAAGGCUGGUGAGAGUGUGCUGACAAAGGUGAGGCGGGAGAAGAACGAUCUCCAAGAUGCCAACACCAAGCUGGGCGUUGAACUGAAGGAUGUUCGUGCCCAGCUGUUGGACUCCGUUAAGGAGAAUCAGCGGCUUCGACGCAACAUAUUUAGUAAGUGCUUAAACGAACUUUGAAAAAAGAGUUCAGCGAGGAAGUCGACUAACAGAGUAAUGUCUGUAGGUAUGUUAACAGGUCGUCCUGCAGAGGAAAUGCCCAGUUCUACGGGUGACCUUCUUCCCGAGAUCUCACAACUGCAUGAGCGAGUUCGGCAGGUGAUGCAAUGCGUCGCCCAGGCCUUGUGGCCAUCUGUCUCCAUGCCCGAAGGCCUUGGAGAGCUUGUAGAGAAGCUGAAGGGAGCGCGGUGGCGCUUCCGAUUGUGGAAGAUGUCGGCCUGCCGUUAAGGCGCCAGGGAGGCCUGGGCCAUGGUGAAGACGCGGUACACGAAGGCUGACCCAAACCACAUGGCCGUGGUCGGACCCGUGGGGCCCGAUGGGAAGGAGAUCCCUGUGAGCUUAGUAUACGGCCAAGUAGAAUUGGCCGCAAAGUAUUCCCAACAGGUCUGUAAGCUAGACAGCCUGUUAGACAGUAUUGAAGAGGAAUACAAUCAGUCAGAUUGACUAUGUAAUUUUAAUUGACAUGUGUAAUGCCUUCUAGCCGGAUUGUAGAUUGUUUGUCAUGGCCGACCUUUUCGCUUCAACCUCGGGACCUGACGGUCCGGAGUGUGUCUGAAUACCCUCGCGGUUAUAUAAGAACCGGGGUUUGUAUGGAGACCAGGCAUAGGGGUCAUUAGUGCUUGAACAGACAAGUGCCCAACUAGUUAUGUUAUGUUACAUGGUUAGUAAGAAACAUCUUCCAGGGAGAAUAGUUCCGUUAGGGGUUCCUUUCCAUGGGAGGCAUGCCCUAAAGUGCAUGUCCAUUCUGCAAAAAGAGACGCGGGAAAAACAUCUGGGGCGUAUAGAUAAAUAAGUGAAAAAAAGAUCAUCUUUAGUUCACCGACCGAAUAUUCCCUUAAGAACGCUAGCUUUUGGCUUCACCCAGUCUAAGGUACACAUCCGGCUGACCCGGCAGUAACAAUCGCAGAGGUUCUCCCUUUACCACCUAGCCGAACAAUCGGGAACGUAGGGGUAAGCACAGGAGCCAGGCAACCCAGCUUGGCCAAAACUUAAGUCAUAUCGAUGCAUAUAAUGGUGAAUAAAAGGUACAUGCGGAAGUGUGACACAUGUGUUGGGCAUGAAGCCCGUAGAAAUAAGCUUCUAUUUAAAGAAGCCCCCAGGUUUAAUGAGCGCGGAUAGCGCGUCACUUUAUGAGCCUUUAAAGGCUAUAAGAGAGAGAGGGGGGAGAAGGAGAGAAAUGUAAGACAGAAAGUAUAUACGAAAUGGACAGAGGAAGGAGACGAACACAGAGUCCGGCGCUAGGCAUAGAAUCUUCGGAGACAGGCUGCGUUCCAUGGGUUCGGCUCGAGUCGGUUAUCCGAUGCAUCUCACAAGCGGUAUGCUCCACCAGUCAGGACUUGGUUAAUUAUGAAGGGACCUUCCCACUUGGGCUUGAGUUUGUCCUUUUUCUUGUCCGGCAGGCGUAGAACUAAUUCGCCAACGUUGUAAUUUUUGGCCGUACUUCUCUUCUUUGGUAUCUUUUGAGCCUGCUGUUGAUAGAAUGCGGAACGGGAUUUUGCCACGUCACGCUCUUCCUCCAAUGCGUCCAAACUGUCCUGCCGAUCGAGCUCGACUUCUCUUUCUUCAUACAUGUGCACUCGAGGUGAGUCAUGAAUUAUGUCACAGGGCAAAACUGCCUCUGCGCCGUACACCAUGAAGAAUGGUGUGUAUCCGGUGGUGUGAUUCGGCGUGGUCCGCAGCCCCCAGAGUGCGGAGUCGAGCUCCUCUACCCAGUGCGUAUUAGAUUCCUUAAGGGACCGCACUAAUCUGGGUUUGAUGCCGCUCAUGAUAAGACCAUUUGCACGUUCGACCUGGCCGUUAGUUUGUGGGUGAUAGACGGAAGCAUAAUCGAGCUUGAUGCCCAUGUUUUUGCACCAGAGUUUUACCUCGUCGGCCGUAAAGUUCGUGCCGUUAUCAGUGAUGAUGCUGUGGGGGACACCGUAACAGCGUACAACCCCGGAUAUAAAGUCUAUCACCGGUCCGGAUUCGACCGUCUUAACAGGCUUGGCUUCUAUCCAUUUGGUGAACUUCUCCACCAUGACCAGUAAGUAUUUUUUCUUGUGGGUUCCGCCUUUAAGGGGUCCAACCAUGUCAAGCCUCCAGACCGCGAAGGGCCAAGUGAUGGGGAUAGUUUGGAGGGCGGUGGGUGGCAUAUGGCUUUGGUUUGCAAAAAACUGGCAACCGACGCAUCGUUGGACUAAGUCCUGGGCGUCUGCCCGGGCCGUCGGCCAAUAAAAGCCUGUACGGAAGGCCUUGCUUACAAGGGACCGAGCUACAGCGUGAUGACCACCGAGUCCAGCAUGAAUUUCAGCCAGGAGGUUCCGCCCUUCCUCUUCGGAGAUGCACCUUUGAAGGACUCCGGUAGUGCUUUUCUUAUAAAGCUCUCCCUCAUGGACUUUAUAGGCUUUAGAUCACCGCACUAUGCAGCGUGCCUCAUUUUGGUCCUCUGGGAGUUCCUGCCUAGUAAGGUAGGCGAGGAAUGGUUCUGUCCACGGGGUGAUGACGGCCAUUAUUACGUGGGCUGAAGGUGUUAUUUCAUUGGCGGAGCCUCCAAUUAUGUCAGAGUGUUCGGUGUCGGGCAGUGCGGUUGGGUCCGGGCUGUUAUUGCCGGGUUCCCCUUCCCAUACUACGGAUGGCUUGAAUAGCCUUUCCAAGAAGAUGUUGGGGGGGACUACAUCGCGUUUUGCGCCGAUGCGUGCCAGGACAUCUGCCUCCUGAUUAUUUCCCCGGGCUAUAUGGUGAAAUUCGAGCCCUUUGAAAUGAGCUGACAUUUUUAGGACGGCGUUGCGAUAAGUUGCCAUUUUUGGAUCCUUGGCAUCAAAGUCUCCAUUUAUUUGGCAUAUUGCGAGGUUCGAGUCCCCGCGCACCUCUAGGCGUUGAAUGCCCAUGGAUACUGCCAUCCGGAGACCAUGUAAAAGGCCUCAUAUUCGGCUGCAUUGUUGGAGUCUGUGUACAUUAUCUGGAGUAUGUAUUGAACUGUGUCUCCUGUGGGGGAUGUCAAAACAAUGCCAAUCCCUAGACCAGCCAACAUUUUUGAGCCGUCGAAGUACAUGACCCAGUUUGAAUAUGUGCCGUACUCUUUAGGGAGUUCGGCCUCCGUCCAUUCUGCGACGAAGUCUGCCAAAACUUGCGACUUGAUAGCUCGCCGUGGCUUGUAAGUUAUGUCGAACGGAAGGAGCUUAAUGGCCCAUUUUGCAAUCCGGCCCGUCGUGUCGCGGUUGUUUAUAAUAUCGUUAAGUGGCACUUCCGAGGCUACUGUUAUUGAACACUCUUGAAAGUAGUGUCACAGCUUCCGGGAUGCCAUAAAUGCCGCGUACGCAAUAUUUUGAUAAUGCGGGUACCGUGACUUGCAUGGAGUAAGGACAAUGGACACCUAGUAGACCGGCUUUUGAAGCGGGAAUUUAUGUCCGUCCGUUUCUCGUUCGACGACGAGCACUGCGCUUACGACCUGAUGGGUUGCUGCAAUGUAUAAUAGCAUUGGUUCGCCAAUGUUUGGCGCGGCCAGGACUGGGUUUGUUGCCAAGAUGGCUUUUAUUUCGUCGAGUCCGGCCGUGGCUGCAUCCGUCCACUCGAAGUGUUCGGUGCACCAAAGGAGGCGGUAAAGGGGUAGGGCCUUUUCUCCCAAGCGGGAGAUAAGGAGGCUUAGGGCCGCCACGCAUCCGGUUAAUUUUUUUAUUUGUUUGAGGUCCUUCGGGAUAUCGAAUUGUGAUAGAGCUCGGAUCUUGGCUGGAUUUGCUUCAAUUCCUCUACCGGAUACAAUGAAGCCCAAGAGCUUUCCUGCUGGAACGCCGAAAACGCAUUUUUCCGGGUUGAGCUUGAUGUCGUAUGUUCGGAGGUUAUCGAAUGUUAGCCUCAACUUGUCUACUAGAGAUUCGACAUGUCUUGUUUUAACGACCACAUCAUCUACGUAUGCCUCCACUGUUUUGCCGAUCUAGUUUGCCAGACAUGUCUGAAUCAUGUGCUGAUAUGUUGCGCCGGCGUUUUUGAGUCCGAAGGGCAUUUUGUUGAAGCAGAAUGGGCCGUAUGGUGUGAUGAAUGCCGUUGCGGCUUGGUCUGACUCUGCCAUCUUUAUUUGAUGGUAGCCAGAGUAUGCGUCGAGGAAACACAACGAAUCGUGUCCUGCGGUAGCGUCGAUAAUUUGAUCAAUGCGGGGGAGGGGGAAGGGAUCCUUUGGGCAAGCCUUGUUAAGGUCUUUAAAAUUAACGCACAGGCGCCAGGAUUUGUCCUUCUUUGGUACCAUCACCAGGUUUGCUAGCCAGUCCGGGUGUUUUAUAUCUUUGAUGAAUCCGGCCUCCAAUAGCUUGGCUAGUUCCUCUCCCAUGGCCUGUCUCUUAGGUUCGGAAAAACACCGAAGAACCUGUUUGACUGGCUUGAAUCCUUUUAGGAUAUUUAAGUUGUGUUCGGCCAGCCUGCGUGGGAUUCCUGACAUGUCUGAAGGUUGCCAGGCGAAAAUGUCCUAGUUCUCUCGUAGGAACUCUUGCAGUGUGGCGUCUACAUCAGGGUUUAACUAUACCCCGAUGGAAGCUGUUUUAUUGGGGUCCGUUGGAUGGACCUGGAAUUUGACUAUUUCGUCCGCCGGUUUAAAGGAGGUGGACUUGGAUCUUUUGUCGAGUAUCACAUCGUCCCUAUUUACCGUGGAGCACAGCGCAGUCAGUUCCUCAGCCGCUAGGGCUUCGGAUAGCACCUCGAGGGCCAGUGCGACUGUCUUGUUUUCGGCGCGGAGUGCUAUGUACGGAUCACUAGCGAGAGUGAUGAUUCCGUUAGGCCCGGGCAUCUUGAGCUUCAUAUACCCGUAAUGGGGUAUUGCUUGGAAGAUUGUAAACGCUUCCCGCCCUAGUAGAGUGUGAUAUCCGCUACUGAACGGGGCCACUUGGAAUGUGACCUCUUCGGACCUGUAAUUAUCCGGCAUGCCGAACACCACAUCUAGUGUGAUUUUUCCUGUACAUCACGCUUCCCGACUGGGGAUUAUUCCUCUAAAUGUUGUGCUGCUUUGCUCAAUGCGGUUCUAGUCUAUUUCCAUUUUUUGAAGGGUUUCCUCAUAAAUGAGGUUCAAUCCGCUGCCGCCAUCCAUGAGUACCUUGGUAAGACGAAAGCCGUCCACUAUUGGACUAAGGACCAAUGCGGAUGGUGCUCGGGCUAUUCGGAAUUUAGGUUCAUCACUGGCGUUAAAAGUAAUAGCCGUGUCACUCCAUGGGUUUAUUGUUGCUACUUGGUAGACUUCGGCAAGGCUGCGGAGUGUUCUUUUUCACAUAUUAUUUGAUGCGAAAGUCUCGAAGACUGUUAAUACCGUAUUGGUGUCUCUGGGGUGGCUUUCUGUGGCUUCUGGAAUUAGAAGAUCUUCGCCAAUUUUUGCCACCUGCCAGAGUAUCCAACAUGCUCUAAGACUGUGAGUUGGUGUGGCGCCCUCUGCACUGUGAAUUUUACAGGGUCCAUUAAGGCAUCCUUCCAAUACGGUUCCGUGCCCUGUAGAGGGCUUUUGCUUUUUGGUAUUGAACCCGGGUGUCUGGCGAUGACGCACCCUUUUAUUUCGGACUGGGUUUGUAUUCAGGGCCGGAUUGUCCCAAAAUUUUAUUUCGGUUUUCCAGGCGCUUUCCAUCGCACAGUACUUUCGUACUAUGGACGCCAAGUCAGCGAAGCGUGUAAUAUCAUGACGACUUAUGGCGUUGAGGAUUCCCUUGUCCAUGCAAUUAUUGCAGAAGAAUGAAAUUGUGUCUUCCUCACUGCAGUCCUUUAUCCUGUUCAUAACCAGGAGGAAUCUGGCCCAGUAAUGAUGUAUUGUUUCUUCGAGCUCUUGCCUAAUUUGGGAUAGAUCGCUUAUGUACGGGUGGGUGGGUGGAAUCAAAUCCGAAACCUCACCCAAUCUGAGACCCAGGGGCGAAGGAGUUUCCGAACUCGGAAGUUUGGAUUCUUUGAAGUUAUCCAAUGAAUCUAGCCCAUCGUCUGACUUUAAGUUCAGGUCUUGAGUGAUGUCCUCCCCUCCGCGGGUAUACGGCUUGGAGGGAUCAGGAAUCCGGACAUAGCUAGUCCUUAAGAUAGAUGAAGGGUCGCCGCACUGUCCCUCUACCAUGACAACGUGAUGGGUGACCUGGGGAGAGUUAAUCUCUCUCAGAUCGGGUUUAGGCCCAAUCUGGUCGUAAUCCGUAGCGACUCCCAGGGCGGCGAUGCGAUCCAAGAGCUCGUUAAGGGAAGAGAGCUCCAUUGGAUCUAGCUGCUCGGCGAAUUCCGAGCUGACGUGAAGAUUUCUUUCGAUGACCCGAGAGGUCAUCAUCGGCGCAGCAGCCGAACAGGCGGUCAUAAGGAAACCACCUAGCCGGAGAGUUUGGCCGACAGCCAAAGCUCCCUUAGCAACGGUGCCGUCUUUAAAGAUGGGACGAGGCAUCCUUCCUGAUGGCGACGACAUAGAGGAACUCUCAAUGAAAGCACCAAUGUCGGUGUCAAAACCGGCGGAUCUUGGGUAGGGGGUCCCGAACUGUGCGUCUAGGCGGAUGGUAACAGGAGACUGGGGACACGAUGUUUUUACCCAAGUUUGGGCCCUCUCGAUGGAGGUAAAACCCUACGUCCUGCUUGGUUAAUAUUGAUGAUAUGGGUAGUACAAGAGUAGAUCUACCACGAGAUCAGAGAGGCUAAACCCUAGAAGCUAGCCUAUGGUAUGAUUGUCUGUCCUUACGAACUAAAACCCCCCGGUUUAUAUAGACACCGGAGAGGGCUAGGGUUACAUAGAGUCGGUUACAAUGGUAGGAGAUCUACAUAUCCGUACUGCCAAGCUUGCCUUCCACGCCAAGGAAAGUCCCUUCUGGACACGGGACGAAGUCUUCAAUCUUGUAUCUUCAUAGUCCAGGAGUUCGGCCGAAGGUAUAGUCCGGCUAUCUGGACACCCCCUAAUCCAGGACUCCCUCAGUCACCAUUUCCCAAGCCCACUCUGGUAUGGGCAGCGGUUGGAGGAGGCCGGGAUACUUGACAUGCUCUGGUUUGGCUUGUUUGCAAAUUGCACAAUUGCCCACAAACCUCUUCACAGCUUGUUUCAGUUUGGGCCAUGCAAAGAGCCUGAUAAUGCGGUUGUAUGUCGCCUGAACUCCCAAGUGUCCACCUAUUGCCCCUGAGUGCAGCUCAGGGAGAACUUUGUCUUGAGCCUCUUUGUUUUGACCCAGCCACACUCAUCCUUUGUACCCGAUGAGCCCUCCUGUCACUUGGAAAGGUCCUUUGAGGGCGAUCCCUUGUUUUGCUUUGGUCAACAUAUCACUACAACUGGGGUCCAUCUCAUACCCUUGCUUGACUUGGGUUAACCACGCUGGAACACAAACUGUGAUGGCAUAGUUGGACCCCGCUGGUCUGCGUGAUAAUGCGUCAGCAGCCAGGUUUGUUGCCCCUUUGGGAUACUCAAUUUUGUAUUGCAGCCCCAACAGUUUUGACAACGCCUUGUGGUGCCAGGGUGUGGUCAGACGUUGCUCGUCCAAACAAGUCAGGCUGCGAUGGUCAGUGCGAAUGGUGAACUCCGAUUGCAGCAGGUAUGUUCUCCAUCGUUCCACCGCCACUAGGAUGGCCAGGCACUCCUUCUCAUAGGUAGAUAACAUCCAGUGUCGAGGACCAAGCACUUGGCUCAAAAUCAUGAUUGGGUGAUGGCGCUGCAUCAGGACCGCACCGAUGCCAACGUCCGAUGCAUCGGUCUCCACUGUGAAAGGCUGCUUGAAAUCCGGCAGCACCAGCACUGGGGCUGAAGUUAGUGCUUGUUUCAAGGUCCUAAACGCUUGCUCACAUGUAUCUGUCCACUGAUAUGGCACGCCCAUCUUCAGUACAUCUGUGAGCGUACGGCUGAUCACCCCAUAAUGCUUGAUAAAUCGGCGGUAAUACCCGGCCAGUCCCAAAAACUGCCGCAAUUCCUUCACCGAGGUGGGUGGAUCCCAUGCUUGGACCUUAUCAAUGUUCUUGGGGUCAGUGUGUACUCCAUCCGCGCUGAUUACAUGUCCCAAGUACCUAAGCUGCGGCUGUGCAAAGGCACAUUUCUUGAUCUUGAGCUUGGGAGAGUACUUUUCCAGCCGCUAAAAUACCUCACGCAAGAGCUGGAUAUGCUCCCGGAGGGUUUUGUUAAAUACCAGAAUGUCGUCAAUGAAGACUAACAUGCCAUGGCGAAUCAGAGGUCCUAAAACAAUGUGCAUGCCUUGUUGAAAUGUAAAUGGCCCUCCGAUCAGUCCAUAUGGCAUCACCUUAAACUCGAAGUGCCCUUGAUGGGUUUGGAAGGCUGUCUUUGGCUCGUCCCCUGGGCGCAUCCGAAUCUGGUGGUAUCCCGAUCUCAAAUCGAGACUAGUGAACAUUGUUGCUCCAUGCAGCUCGUCCAGAAGUUCCUCGAUGGUCGGAAUUGGGUAUCUAUUUUUUAUGGUGAUUGCAUUCAAAUGGCGGUAAUUGACACAAAAUCUCCAUUCUCCGUCUUUUUUCUGCACAAGUAAAACAUGCAAUGAAAAAGGGCUGCGGCUGCACUGAAUGAUUCCUUGGCAUAGCAUCUCUCGGACUUGUGCCUCAAUCUCGUCUUUCUGGACAGGGUUGUACCUGUAUGGUCGCAUGUUCACCGGUUGAGCUCCUGGAAUGAGAUCAAUGGAAUGAUCAAACUCCCGCGAUGGUGGCAAACCUUGUGGCUCUGCGAACAAACUGCUGAAUUCCUCAAGCACAGCUUGAACUGCAGGUGGCACCGGGGCUGUUUCCACGUCUGCUUUGACCUCAGCUACCAACAACACAUGCGCGAUGGUUGUCUUUUCUUGCAACAGGUUCAGUUGGGUGUAUGAAACAGGUUCACAAAUGAUAUCCGAGCUAUUUAUCCCUUGGAGUUGCACCUGCUUGCUUUUGUGUGUAAAAACCAUCGAUUUUUCAGUCCAGUUAACUAUCAUCAGCCCUCGAGACUCGAGCCAAUCCAUCCCUAAUAUGAUAUCGUAGCAGCCGAGUGGAAAUAGCUUGAACGUGGAUCAGAACUGCUCCCCUUGGAUCUGAUAUUCACACAUCGGCAAUUCCUUAUCACACAGAGUAACUGCCCCAUCGGCCACCUUCACCUUCAAUGGAUGUUGCAUUGGUUGUCCCUGGCCAGUUCUGCACAACCUCUGAAUUGACAAAACUAUGAGAAGAGCCCGAGUCCACCAGCAUUAGUAGCACCUUGUUACCCAGUCGACCAUGAAGACGGAAAGCCUUGGGUGCCUCUGUACCAGUAACAGUAGCCACUGACGGGCACAAAUCUUCUUCUGAACUAUCCACCCGAGCACUUGGUGUGGGAUCCGGUGAUGUUGGUGGUGACAGCAUGCCCACCAGCUCUUCCACGACGUGCAGUUGUACAGUGGAGGCGCAAGUAUGUCCUGGCCCUCAUCGUUCGCCACAAGUGAAGCAUAGCCCAUGUGCUUUUUUGAAGUUGCACAAGGCCUUGAGCUUGUCGUCCACCGAUGUGGACGAACCCGUGGGCGUCUUGGCGAUGUCGAGCCCGCGGCGUGUCUCGAGUGGCGAUGGCGUUGGCGAGGUGCGCCCCGCCUGCGUGGGCACCAGAAGCGCGAUAGCCAGCGGAGGUCGCGAGGUGAAUCGCCCCGCUCGAGUAUGAGCGCCUCCUGGUCGAGAAGGCCCAUUGUUUUCCCGCUCGACACACACCAGCUCGACCACCUCCUCCUGCAAUUCAGCCAAAGAGACGGCAGUUUCCAAGUCUGGGAGUCGAUGAAGCAUCCUAGCAACCUUAAUGUCAUGAUGUAAUCCUUUGACAAAAUGAGUAGUAAAGAACAGGGGAUCCCAAGAGCUAUGAUGUGCCAACAAGCUGUGCAUGGAUAAAUUGAAUUGUUCGGCAUAUUCGAGAACUGGGCCUGUUUGCUUCAGUUUCGAAAACUUGCGCAGGAGGAACUGAAACUCAGAGCGCCCAAAUUUGUCUAGAACGGCUAUGCAAAACCCCUCCCAGUUAGCACACUUUAGAUGCAUUUUAGACCACUCUAACCACAAGGCAGCCGCCCCUGUGAAGUGAACAAUAGCAGUGUCCACCAAGACGUGCGGUUCAAGCCCACUCACACGGAAGAAAGCUUCACAAUGAAGGCGCCAACCCGUGGGAUUGUCGCCAUCAAAUUCAGGACACUCCAUGACUUUGUUGCCAAAACGGCCUCCCGUGCCUCCCUGAUUACUGCUACCGCCCAACUCUAUGGAAGGGGGAGGAGGAAACGGAGUUCGGAACGUACCAUUGGCCGGGACCGGCGUAGUGAGGAUCGGUCCCUCACUAGCCGAAACCCGUGGAAGUAGAGCCCUGCGGUGGCUAGUGUGCCCGUGAUCGUCAUCACCUUGCUCGAUGUUGGCCAGUGGCGCGUCCACCGUGACGGAAUUCGGCAUCGGCCUAUUGGCUAGCGCGGUGCAUGCCGCGAUCUUCUCCAGCUGCGCCCGGAUGUCGCCGAGGUCUGCUUGGAGUCGCCCCACCGCCGCGUCCAUGGUGGGUUGCCAGGUCGCGAGAUCCUGAACGACCGGCUCGAGUGCGACGAGCGUCGGCUCCAUCUUCGCGACCGCGGGCUCCAUCUUUGCGACCGCAGGGGCUAUCCGAUCCAGCGUCUGCUGGAUCGAUAGGAGGGCCUUGGCGAUGCCGCUUCACUCCGCCGCCGCUUCCUCCCACUGCUUCUGGGCAUCCGUCCCCGCCAUGAUCUCCUUGACACUGCGCGUCUUCGACGCCAGUUUACGAUGCGGAAGAGAAAUUUCUGGUGGAAUUGGAGGCUCUGAUUACCCGAUGACACGGAUCUAUAAUCUAGGCAACUGGAUUCACUCUUGCGGGCUCGAAUCAAGGAUACAAGUGUUUAGGGUUCCUAGAAGAGGGGGAUCGGGAUGAGAGAGCCAGGGAAGGAGGAAGAUACAUCGCCCAACGGCGCCGCCAGUCUGUGAUCCAACGAUACCCUAGCCAGUGGCUUGUCUCGCCUUAAGUAGUCUCACUUGCUCCACACUGGCCCCGUCAUUUGUUGGUUGGGCUUGGAGAUCCUCCAAGGCGAGACAAGCCACUGGCUAGGGUAUCGUUGGAUCACAGACUGGCGGCACCGUUGGGCGAUGUAUCUUCCUCCUUCCCUUGCUCUCUCAUCCCGAUCCCCCUCUUCUAGGAACCCUAAACACCUGCACGUGGUUUUGUAAACUAAUCAAGUACACUAGGACAGCUUGCACUGCUGAUUUUACUGCUUUCAUCGCUUUGCGUUUCUGUUCUCGCGCGACUGCAUGCGUCUCCUCGGCCGAGCACGCGCUCUCGUACCUAAAAGGCACCGGAUACGGGCAUGUUACAUGUCAGUCUAGCUUAUCAUCUGAUUCCCCGGAUGGGAUGAGAUGAGACCUAGAUUACGUGUGCUUAGCUGAUGGGAACCACACUUUUCUGGUGCUUAUACAUAUAUUGUGUGAAGUUGUCUUUUCUUAAAUGAACGUUGUCUUUUCUUCCAAUGCAUUUCUUUCCAACGUGGUAAAGCAGCAUUGCUAUGUUAGGAAUUUAACGGUUCAAGGAAUUUUAAAAAUAAAUUAAAUUAUAUUUUCUGAUAACAAGCCAUCUCAAGUCAGAUUCGGUAUUUCUAUUUUUACCAUUUCCGUAAACGUAUCUUCGAAAAAUCUUAUAGCAUUCUAGAGUUUUCCAAGAAAAAAGGCAUUAGAGUAUUGUCAAUGCUAUCCCCUAAAACGGACAUAGUAUCUGUCUAUGGACAGUGAUACAGGAGCCGGCCAUCCAACCCUAUCCAUCAAACGUCGGGGCACAUUUUAAACGGUAUUUGAACAAAACGGAUGAUCAUUUAAACUAGACUAAAUUCAUGACCUUUUUGCAUAUUUCAUUUUAAAAAGUGUACAUGGCAUUUUUUAACAUAAAAUGUUAAUCUAGUCUAAAUGUUCGCCAGCCGUGGAGGUGUCCUUGUUCCAUGUCCCGUCUUCCCCAUGGCUGGCAUCUUUGCCAGGCCUGAGCUCCGUGAAGUGAAGCUGUGGCUCGCCGGGGACGAAGAGUAAGACAUGGGACACGGCCAUGCCCACAUGGGAUACGGAUGCCUUCGUCUACCAUGUCCUACUCUUCCUUGUCGAAUUCCAUUGCUUGGGCGUCGUCGGUCGAUGUGAGGUCCAAGAUGGACGUGGACGGGCCAGACAAGUGGUCGUUGUGGCCCGAUGGUACUGUGGGUGAUGCAGAGCUGCCGAUGUUCCCGUUCACGAUCGCCUAAGCCGCGGUGCCCGCCUAAACCGUGACUGUGUUGCAGUCGGCGCGAGAGCCGCACGUGGUCUCCUAGAGCGCUCCCUGCGGGUCGACGAAGUUUGGGUCCUCCGAGGCCAUGGCCGCCGUGGCCUCCUCGCUUGUGAAGUCACCGUAAAUUUUGCCCUCAGCCAGCCGGUGAUGCCGGAGGUUGGAGAGGUUGUAGCCUUGCUCCUCUCGAUCCAGCCAAAACACCGACAAUGGUGGUGCUGGCUGCUCCUCCGUCAUGACGAUGUUGAUGUGUGGUUUCGCGAUGGACCUGUGUGGACAGGGGUGCCGGCUCGUUGUCAUGUCAACGUCUCUCACCUCCGGCAAUCCGGCCUCUAUUCGUCGCGCAUGACAGUGCUGCUAGUCGGUCGCAAGGCUGGCCAACUCGUGCUUCAUCUCAGCCUAGAGAGUCUCCCACUUCGCUCUAAAGCUUGCCGUGGUAGAGGUGGUGCACAGAGGAGGAACGAAAAUGGACGUGGUGUGGUGCGUAUCAGGUUGUGAGCAGCCACGUAUAAAUAACGGGCAUCGACCAAACCAAACAUCAAGUUGUUUCAGUGCGGGCACCAGAGUGGGUUUUUCGCCUAUCACACCUGCUUAAUGUCGACACAUGAAUAGGUGAGGAUCCGACUUCAAUGCGGUAUAUAGUUGUCUCGUUGCCCCAUCCGGCCACGUCUCUCCGGCAUUGAACAUGCGUCACUACUGCAGAACGGGGCUACAACACCGGUUCGUAAGGCCUUUUAGUGCCGGUUCGGUAACCGGCACUAAAGUGUGGGGACUAAAGGCCCCCCCUUUAAUACCGGUUCCGCACGAACCGGCGCUAAAGGGCAACCACGUGGCACGAGCCAGCUCCGGGGGCGCGUAGGACAUUAGUACCGGUUGGUAACACCAACCGGUAGUCCGGUACUAAAUGUUUGGGUGUGUUUUGGUUUUAUUUUUUUACUUUUACUUUAAUUUUGUGUUUUCAAUUUAAUUUAGUGAUUGUUUUACAUUAUAAUGAGUUGUUAAAUCAUUAGGUGAAAGUACCGCAGAUUAGUUUGACUGGAUGCAUGUGGAUCCUAGCUAAGUCAUCAAGUAUAUGCCAUAUCCAUAUUAUAUAUACUUGAUCACCUAAUUAAGUGAUCGAGGUAAUAUGGAUAUAGCAUAUACUUGAUCACUUAGCUAGAAUCCAUCCAGUUGAAACUAAUCUGCGUUUUCUUUCAUAAAUGAUAUAAUAACUCAUCAUCAUCAUCUUCAUCAUCAUCAUAUUAAUAUAAAAACUCUUGCAUCAUAUAUAUCAUCACCAACAACAGUUUUCAUAGCUAGCUAAAAAUCAUCAUAUAAUAGUCGUCUCUUUACCACUACUUAAUCAUCAUAUAGUCAUUACCGCUAUCUAAUCACCGCCAACACUAGCUUAAAGAAGAAACAUUCACUUGUACCAGAAGCAAAGAUAUCAUCAAGUUCAACAUGGUAACGAUAUUAUAAGCAUUCAUAACACCACAAAAGCAUGCAGAUGAACCUGUCUCCUAAUCGUGGGUUGCGCUUCUGAUUGUUGCCCCUAGUACUUCUCUGUGAUCGUUCACAAUUUUUCUCCAGUCUUUUACUAUUAAGCAUUCCUCGCUAUUAGAAAACCUGAAUGCACUAAAGUGCAUUGUAGGAUAUCUUGGGCGUAAGCUAACAACAUUCAUGGUACCUUUAGUCUUGAUCCAAUCAGGCACAACAUUCAUCGGGAGUCCCUGUUGAAGAACAUCGUAUAGUAACAUACUUAGCAAUGCAGUUUAGCUUAAAAAAUAAUGUAUGCAAAAGAUGCACUUAGGAGAAAUAAUAGAAAUCUUACCAUCUUUCCUAAAUAUAUGUGACCAUAGUUCAGUACGAACACUAUUGGUCGCACGUUUUGAGUACUAACAUUUGUAAGUGCAGGAAAUUUUUUUGUCUUGACAGCAUCAAGAUCCUCAAGCCAUGAAACAUAAUGACUUGUCUCCUUGCAGUUUAGUUCAGCCCCAGGACAGUGGACAGUCCUGUCUACCAAGCGCUGGACAUGUUUGCUUGAUCGGAAAUAAGCUGUCAAUAUAAAUUACUUGUCAACUAUUUUUGAAUAAACAAUAUCAAAGACAUAAAUAUGGUUGAGAAACUCACAUAAUGGUAGAACUGGAGGCGUCUGCACAUCGACCCAGAUGUCUAUAUUACCUUCAAUAUCAUCUUCCGGACGAAUAUCAAAGGUGAUAACCAUAUCAGGCUCAAAUACAUAAGCCUUGCAUAGUGCUUGCCAAGUUUUGCAUUCAAAAUAGGUGUAUGUGUCUGCAUUGUAUAAUUUGACGUUGAAGGUAUAACCAUGCUCGGUCUUUAAGUAAACUUUUUUUACUUCCAUAGUUUUGUUAGGACUGAAACCUAUCUUAUCCAAGAUAAAAAUUCUUGCAUGGCACAGGAUACGCUAGUAGAAUAGUGAAAAAUUAAAAUUAAAAGUUGAAGCAAAUGAAGCAUAAGUCAUGCUUAAUUACGAAAAAAGACUUGUCGUUCUGAUUUACUGUAUCCACUUCGAAGUUCUCAUCCAGCUUGAUGCUGAAGCGCCUAUCAUCAAUUAGAAAAUUUCUGCCGCAUAGGCCGCGCUGGUCUUCGCAGUAUUCGCACAUAAUGAAAUUGUGUUCGUCGUCAGACGACAUUCCUAUGUUCAUAGGUGAAACAUUAAACACUUAUUAGUUCUAUUAAUUCAACUAAUUCAAUUAAGCACUUACGAAAAGUAUACCUACAUAAAGUAGCUCAACUAAUUCCACUAACUAGUUCAACUAAUUAAUUUGACUAAUUCAACUAAACUAGUUCUAUUAAUUUUCNNNNNNNNNNNNNNNNNNNNNNNNNNNNNNNNNNNNNNNNNNNNNNNNNNNNNNNNNNNNNNNNNNNNNNNNNNNNNNNNNNNNNNNNNNNNNNNNNNNNNNNNNNNNNNNNNNNNNNNNNNNNNNNNNNNNNNNNNNNNNNNNNNNNNNNNNNNNNNNNNNNNNNNNNNNNNNNNNNNNNNNNNNNNNNNNNNNNNNNNNNNNNNNNNNNNNNNNNNNNNNNNNNNNNNNNNNNNNNNNNNNNNNNNNNNNNNNNNNNNNNNNNNNNNNNNNNNNNNNNNNNNNNNNNNNNNNNNNNNNNNNNNNNNNNNNNNNNNNNNNNNNNNNNNNNNNNNNNNNNNNNNNNNNNNNNNNNNNNNNNNNNNNNNNNNNNNNNNUUCAACUAAGCAUUUACUAAAAAUAAACUAGUUAUAUUAAUUCAACUAGUUCAAAUAAUCUCAUAUACCUAAAUUUUCUUACUAAAAAUAAACUUGUUCUAUUAAUUUUCAUACUAAAAAUAAACUAGUUAUAUUAAUUCAACUAGUUCAAAUCUCAUAUAUAUACCUAAUUAAUAUCUAGCUAAUUCAUCUAAAAUUGACAUUAAUAUUUAACAUCUUUUCCAUAUAAUUCAUCUAAUAUUAACAUUCUAACAUUCNNNNNNNNNNNNNNNNNNNNNNNNNNNNNNNNNNNNNNNNNNNNNNNNNNNNNNNNNNNNNNNNNNNNNNNNNNNNNNNNNNNNNNNNNNNNNNNNNNNNNNNNNNNNNNNNNNNNNNNNNNNNNNNNNNNNNNNNNNNNNNNNNNNNNNNNNNNNNNNNNNNNNNNNNNNNNNNNNNNNNNNNNNNNNNNNNNNNNNNNNNNNNNNNNNNNNNNNNNNNNNNNNNNNNNNNNNNNNNNNNNNNNNNNNNNNNNNNNNNNNNNNNNNNNNNNNNNNNNNNNNNNNNNNNNNNNNNCGGCGGGGGCGACGGCGUUGACGGCGACGACGGGCGACGGGGGCGACGGCGCGCGGCGGGGCCUGCGAGGGCGGCACGUGAUGGGCAACGAUGCGGCGACGGCGGCGAUGUCGCGCAAAUAAGUUGGAGAAGAAGUGGUGGUCGAUGAAACUGAAUUUUUUGUAAGUGGCACAUAUAUAAGAAGGACCUUUAGUACCAGUUGGAGCCACCAACCGGUACUAAAAACCAAUUUUCGCCAGGCCAAGGGGCGGGAAAUGGCCCCUUUAGUACCGGUUCAUGCCACGAACCGGUACUAAACGCCCACUCAUUAGUACCGGUUGGAGCCACCAACCGGUACUAAUGGUUGUGCGCUGUUACCGGUGGUGCACAAUGUUUAGUCCCACCUCGCCGAGCAAAGGGCAGUCGCACUGGUUUAUAAACCCAGCCGCGGCUGCUCCUUCGAACUUCUCUAUAUAGCAGGCUUCUGGGCCUAACUAUGGCGCGCUGCCCUAUGAGCCCGCUGGCCCUUCAGGGCCUGCAUUUGCACACUCUAGGUCUGGCAGGCCCACUGGGCAGCGCCCCAACGAAUUUUUUAUAUAGUUUUUUCUUUUCUGCAUUAUUUAUUUUUCUUCUAUUUAUUUUUGAGUAAUUUUUAUAUAAUUUUUUCUUUUCUGCAUUAUUCAUUUUUUCUAUUUAUUUUUGAGUAAUUUUUUAUAUAGUUUUUUCUUUUCUACUUUAUUUAUUUUCUUCUAUUUAUUUCCGCGUAGUUUUUUUAUGUAUUUAGUUUCUUUGUGACCCUCUCUACUCUUUCGCACAUGCUAUGCGGGUGAAAUGAUGAUACCAUGGCAAGUUUUAACAUUUUCAGAGUUUAUUUUGUAGUGAUUUUUAAUUUCACGGUCAUUUAGCUCUCUAAACAAUUCGGUAAAUGACUGAAAAACAGCAAAUGAUGUGAGAGCGUGUUGGAAAUUGAUGACGUCACUUUGAAUACUGCAUAAUGAACGCAAAAGAAGUCCGGAGUUCAAAUAAGUUUUAAAAACAUUGAAGUGCCCGUGCAACAGAUGCGUUCUCGUCCGAAACCAUGAUACUCCGAAAGAGAUUGUCCAGUUUGUACACGAAGUGUGUCCAGUUUUUUCGGUGACCCUCUCUACUCUUUUGCACAUGCUAUGCGGGUGAAAUGAUGAUACCAUGCCAAAUUUCAACAUUUUUAGAGAUUCAUUUUGUAGUGAUUUUGAAUUUCACGAUCAUUUAGCUCUCUAAAAAAUUGGUAAAUGACUGAAAAACAGCAAAUGAUGUCAGAACGUGUUGGAAAUUGAUGACAUCGGUUUGAAUGCUGCAUACUGAACGCAAAAGAAGUCGGGAUUUCAAAUAAUUUUAAAAAACAUUGAAGUGCCCAUGUAACAGAUUUGUUCUCGUUCGAAACCCUGAUACUCCAAAAGAGAUUGUCCAGUUUGUACACGAAGUGCGUCCAGUUUUUUGCCGUGACCCUCUCUACUCUUUUGGACAUGCUAUGCAGGUGAAAUGAUGAUACCAUGCCAAGUUUCAACAUUUUCAGAGUUCAUUUUAUAGUUAUUUUUCAAUUUCACGGUCAUUUAGCUCUCUAAACAUAUCGAUAAAUGACUGAAAACAGCAAAUGAUGUCAGAACAUGUUGGAAAUUGAUGACGUCGCUUUGAAUGCUGCAUACUGAACGCAAAAGAAUUCCGGAGUUCAAAUAAGUUUAAAAAACAUUGAAGUGCCCGUGUAACAGACGAGUUCUCGUCUGAAACCCUGAUACUCCGAAAGAGAUUGUCCAGUUUGUACACGAACUGCGUCCCGUUUUUGCCGUGACCCUCUCUACUCUUUUGCACAUACUAUGCGGGUGAAAUGAUGAUACCAUGCCAAAUUUCAACAUUUUCAGAGUUUAUUUUGUAGUGAUUUUCAAUUUCACGGUCAUUUAGCUCUCUAAACAAAUCGGUAAAAAAUGACUGAAGAACAUCAAAUGAUGUCAGAACAUGUUAGAAAUUGAUGACGUCGCUUUGAAUGCUACAUACUGAACACAAGAAGUCAGGAGUUCAAAUAAGUUAUUAAAAAUAAAAAAGAGGUGCAAUGAUGGUUAAUUAGCUUCAAGCCUUUCGGAAUAGUGUAAACUGGACUACAGAUAGCUCCAUGCAAUGUAUGCUACUCUAAAAGGCUUGAAGCUAAGCAACGUGCAGGUGAGCAUUGCGCCUCUCCUUCAUCGUAUAUGCACUCACGGCUUAUAAACCGCUCAUACUGCCUCUCUCUUAGCAAGGUGGGACUAAAAAUCAGCUUACUAAGAAACUCUAGUACCGGUUCAUGCCAUGAACCGGUACUAAACGUCUUCGUGGGGGCCCCAGCCUGACCACAGCAUGACACAACCUCAUUAGUACCGGUUCAUGGCAUGAACCGGUACUAAAGGUUGCCCACGAACCGGUACUAAUGAUGUGCCCGAGAUGGCACGUGCUCGAGAGAAUAUUUUGAUUGGACCAGGAUGACGAACGGGUACGUGGUGGUGGUUCGUAAGCCUGCCAACAUCCCCUUGCUUUGCGUCUAGUUCGUAGGAUUUCGGACAAGCCGACGCAUCUGCACAUUGAUAGGUGUACAUCAUUGGAUGGCUUGCAGCGCCAAGACUCCUCGAUGCCCUUAGUAUUUAGUGAUAGACGACACACCGGCCAAUACUUGUAUGCAUGUAUUGCAUUCUUCAAUUCAUAUUUUCACUCUUUAAUCCUCACCAUAAUGAUCAAUGUAUACUAUCAGUUUGAGUUAAUAUUUCGUACCACAUCAAUAAGAUGGCAUGCUAAUGACAUGAGUUUUUCUAAGAUCCAUGACUUCGAUAAGUACAUGACUAAUUGUGAUGUGGCAAACAUGCAUGUCUUGGUGAGGUUGGUGAGUGCAUGUUGUAAGACUUAAAGGUAGUGGAUGUGAGGCAUGGCUAAAAAAUAGUGAAUGCUGACAUUCAACACUUUGUGAGGUGGAGGGCUGCGUGUUGAGAGAAUUGCUUGUAGUGGGGAUUAACAUUUUAAAAAUAUUUUGCUUUUAGUGGGAAUGAACUUUUUAGGAAUAAAGGAUUUAGGAAGACAAAAAAAAUUGAAUUUUUCUCAAAGGUAAUAGAUUAUUACCAUGUUUUCUUUUAGAUGACACUUACAAAGUGUUCCUCGCAUAUGCGAGGGCACCAUCUUUAAUUAUUUUGCUCAAACUUUGAAAUUGUUAACUUUUUUAUGAUUUCCUAGAUGUUCUCAUUAUGGCUAUAAUAAACAAUACAAUUUUUGUGUUAAAAAAUAUCAUGCCUUUCUAGGAUCAAUAUUUCAUAAUUUUAUUUGUAUGAGCCAUAAUGGUAAACACUUCCUAAAAGAUGUACAAAUAACAUUUCCCAAUAGAGCACAAUUUUAAAAGGGUUAAUCACAUUGUACUCAUUAAGCACCACCACUAAAGGUAUACAGUUUGUUCGCCACAUCAAGAAUCCAUAACAUACAAUAGUACUUCUCAAAAAGAACGAGAACACUUCAUAGACAAUACAUAUUCAUUUAUAUCGAAAAUAAAAUAAAAUAUAACAACUAAUAUGGGUUUAAAUAAUAUUUUCUUACUACUUCGUCAAGUUAAGGAGGAAAAAGAACAUCUUCCAUAAUAUUCCCGUAAAUAAUGAUGGAGAAUUGAAGCAUUAUUCCAUUGUAUACAUCAAACAUAAAAAACUGCGAUGAGCCUACAAAAAUGUUAUGGACUAUAAAUGGAGAAUGGUCCAAAAAUGAUCGUUAUAAAUUGUUCAAAUCACAAACUUUCCAGUCAAUCCUUUCAAAACAAUUAACCCAUUAAUCCUAUAAGGAAUGCUAGAGUGCACGCCUUCCUGGGUUUUUCGAGGGUGAAGAGAGGCUCGUGUCCAUCCAUUGCCAGUUGGCUUGCGGCGAGAGCCUCGCGUGGCAGCACCGGGCCAUCCGAUCUGCCCGGACAGCUCGGAACCGGGUGACCCAGCUGGAAGCUCGAUGACGAGUGGCCCAAGGGCGCGUGAUCGCUAUAGUCAGCGUGUGUCCAUGACAUGUGGAACCAGGGCGCAUGAUCUCUACAGUUGAGCGAAGAAAGCUUCCCAGUCAUCCUUUGCUGGGUAGAUUGCGAAGGAAGGCUCUCAGGGAUAAGGCGAGCUGUUCAAUCUGACCGCUCGGCUCGCACCCGGGCGAGCCAGCUGGAAGGUCGAUGACGGGUGGACCAAGGGCACGUGAUCACUGAUACGUCUCCAACGUAUCUAUAAUUUUUGAUUGCUCCAUGCUAUAUUAUCUACUGAUUUGGACAUUAUUGGGCUUUAUUAUCCACUUUUAUAUUAUUUUUGGGACUAACCUAUUAACCAGAGGCCCAGCCCAGAAUUGUUGUUUUUUGCCUGUUUUAGGGUUUUGAAGAAAAGGAAGAUCAAACGGAGUCCAAACGGAAUGAAACCUUCGGGAACAACUCAGGAGACUUGGACCCUACGUCAAGACACGUAACAGGAGGCCACGAGGUAGGGGGAUGCGCCUACCCCCCAAGGCGCGCACUCCACCCUCGUGGUCCCCCAGUUGCUCCACCGACGUACUUCUUCCGCAUAUAUAUACCCACGUACCCCCAAACGAUCAGAAAAGGAGCCAAAACCCUAAUUCCAUCGCUGUAACUUUCUAUAUCCAAGAGAUCCCAUCUUGGGUCCUGUUCCGCAGCUCCGCGGAGGGGGCAUCGAUCACAGAGGGCUUCUUCAUCAACACCAUAGCCCCUCCGAUGAAGUGUGAGUAGUUUACCUCAGACCUACGGGUCCAUAAUUAGUAGCUAGAUGGCUUCUUCUCUCUUUUUGGAUCUCAAUACAAUGUUUUCCCCCUCUCUUGUGGAGAUCUGUUUGAUGUAAUCUUCUUUUUGCGGUGUGUUUGUUGAGACCGAUGAAUUGUGGGUUUAUGAUCAAGUCUAUCUAUGAAUAAUAUUUGAAUCUUCUCUUAAUUCUUUUAUGUAUGAUUGGUUAUCUUUGGAAGUCUCUUCGAAUUAUCAGUUUGGUUUGGCCUACUAGAUUGAUCUUUCUUGCAAUGGGAGAAGUGCUUAGCUUUGGGUUGAAUCUUGCGGUGUCCUUUCCCGGUGACAGUAAGGGCAGCAAGGCACGUAUUGUGUUGUUGCCAUCGAGGAUAACAAGAUGGGGUUUUCUUCAUAUUGCAUGAGUCUAUCCCUCUACAUCAUGUCAUCUUGCUUAAGACGUUACUCUGUUUUUAACUUAAUACUCUAGAUGCAUGCUGGAUAGCGGUCGAUGAGUGGAGUAAUAGUAGUAGAUGCAGGCAGGAGUCGGUCUACUUGUAUCGGACGUGAUGCCUAUAUACAUGAUCAUACCUAGAUAUUCUCAUAACUAUGCUCAAUUCUGUCAAUUGCUCAACAGUAAUUUGUUCACCCACCGUAGAAUAGUUAUGCUCUCGAGAGAAGCCACUAGUGAAACCUAUGGCCCUCGGGUCUAUCUUUAUCAUAUCAAUCUCCUACUACUUAGUUAUUUACUUUGCCUUUAUUUUACUUUGCAUCUUUAUCAUAAAAUAUACUAAAAAUAUUAUUUUAUCAUAUCUAUCAGAUCUCACUCUCGUAAGUGGCCCUAUAGGGAUUGACAACCCCUAUUUACGUUGGUUGCGAGGAUUUAUUUGUUUUGUGUAGGUGCGAGGGACUCGCGCGUAGCCUCCUACUGGAUUGAUACCCUGGUUCUCAAAAACUGAGGAAAAUACUUACGCUACUUUGCUGCAUCAUCCCUUCCUCUUCGGGGAAAACCAACGCAGUGCUAAAAGAGGUAGCAAUCACUAUAGUGAUCGCAUGUCUGUGACGGGUGGACCAAGGGCACGUGAUCGCUAUAGUCAACACGUCUACAUGAUGGGUGGACAUAGACCGUCAUCCAGUAGACUUUGGCACAAACGGCUUGGACACGGGCGCCCCACCUAGACGAUCCAAGGCAAGUGGAGCAUGAGCGCAUGCCCAGGGCCACUGUCAUGCGGCGUCUCAUGUCGCACCAGCGCCCACGUGAAGGAAAUAUGCCCUAGAGGCAAUAAUAAAGUUGUUAUUUAUAUUUCCUUAUAUCAUCAUAAAUGUUUAUUAUUCAUGCUAGAAUUGUAUUAACCGGGAACUCGAUACAUGUGUGGAUACAUAGACAAAACAAAGUGUCCCUAGUAAGCCUCUACUAGACUAGCUCGUUAACCAAAGAUGGUUAAGUUUCCAAGCCACAGACAUGUGUUGUCAUUUACUGAACGAGAUCACAUCAUUAGUAGAAUGAUGUGAUGGACAAGACCCAUCCAUUAGCUUAGCAUAAUGAUCGUUAAGUUUUAUUGCUAUUGCUUUCUUCAUGUCAAAUACAUAUUCCUUAGACUAUGAAUUAUGCAACCCCCGGAUACUGGAGGAAUACCUUGUGUGCUAUCAAAGUCACAAUGUAACUGGGUGAUUAUAAAGAUGCUCUACAGGUAUCUCCGAAGGUGUUUGUUGGGCUGCCAUAGAUCGAGAUUAGGAUUUGCCACACCGAGUAUCGGAGAGGUAUCUCUGGGACCUCUCGGUAAUGCACAUCAUAAUAAGCCUUACAAGCAAUGUGACUAAUGAGUUAGUUGCGGGAUGAUGCAUUACGGAACGGGUAAAUAGACUUGCCGGUAACGAGAUUGAACUAGCUAUGAAGAUACCGACGAUUGAAUCUCGGACAAGUAACAUACCGAUGACAAAGGGAAUAAUUUAUGUUGUCAUUACGGUACGACCUAUAAAGAUCUUUGUAGAAUAUGUAGGAACUAAUUUCAGCAUCCAAGUUCGGCUAUUGGUUAUUGACCGGAGAGGCGUCUCGGUCAUGUCUACACAGUUCUCGAACCCGUAGGAUCCGCGCGCUUAACGUUUGAUGAUGAUUUUGUAUUAUAUGAGUUAUGUGAUUUGGUGACUGAGUGUUGUUCGGAGUCCCAGAUGAGAUCACGGACACGACGAGGAGUCUCGAAAUGGUCGAUAAGUAAAGAUUCAUAUAUAGGACGAUAGUAUUUGGACACCGGAAGUGUUCCAAGGGUACCGGGUACGUAUCAGGUCACCGGAAGGGGUCCCCGGCAACCCCCGGCAAGCUAGAUGGGCCUAAUGGGCCCAGACCAGCCCCAAAAGAGGCUGGUGCAUGCCCUAUAGGCCGGUAGGAUAAGGAAAGGAAGGGAAGGGAGAAGGAAAGGGGAGGAUUCGGCCUCCCCCUUUGCUUCCCCUCCCCCUCUCUUACCUUCCCCCUCCGAUGGAUAUGGAGGGGGGGAGGCCGACUUGGAGGAGGCGCCCAAGUAGGAUUACUCCUACUUAGGGCACUCCUUGCAACCCCUCUCCCUCUCCCACCCAUAUAUAAGUGGGAGGGGGCACCGCUAGAACACAGAACAUUGAUUCCUAGCCGUGUGCGGCACCCCCUCCAUAGUUUAUGCCUCCGGUCAUAUUUUGUCGUUGUGCUUAGGCGAUGCCCUGCGCGGAUCACUUCACCAUCACCGUCACCACGCCGUCGUUCUGGCGAAACUCUCCCUCGACACUUUGCUGGAUCAAGAGUUCGAGGGACGUUAUGGAGCUGAACAUGUGCAGAACUCGGAGGUGUCGUACGUUCGGUGCUUGAUCGGUCGUAACGAGAAGAAGUUCGACUACAUCAACCCCGUUGUCAAACGCUUUCGCUUUCGGUCUAUGAGGGUACAUGGACACACUCUCCCCCUCUCAUUGCUAUGCAUCUCCUUGAUACAUCUUGCGUGAGCGUAGGAAUUUUUUUUUUUGAAAUUGCAUGCUACAUUUCCCAACAGUGGUAUCCGAGCCAGAUCUAUGCGUAGAUGAUAUGCAUGAGUAGAACACAAAGAGUUGUGGGAGGUGAUUGUCAUACUGCUUGCCACCAAUGUCUUACUUUGCUUUUGGCGGUAUUGUUGGAUGAAGCGGCGCGGACCAACCUUACAUGACCACGUUCAUGAGACCGGUUCCACCAACAGAGAUGCAACUAGUUUUGCAUAAAGGUGGCUGGCGGGUGUCUGUUUCUCCAACUUUAGUUGAAUCGGAUUUGACUGCGGUCGGUCCUUGUUGAAGGUUAAAACAAAAAAACUUGAUAAAUCACCAUUGUGGUUUUGAUGCGUAGGUAAGAACGGUUCUUACUAGAAUCCCAUAGCAGCCACAUAAAACUUGCAACAACACAGUAGAUGACGUCUAACUUGUUUUUGUAGGGCAUGUUGUGAUGUGAUAUGGUCAACACAUGAAGUGAUAUACGUUAUUGUAUGAGAUGAUCAUGUUUUGUAAAAGUUAUCGGCAACUGGCAGGAGCCUUAUGGUUGUCGCUUUAUUGUAUGAAAUUCAAAUGCCAUGUAAUUGCUUUACUUUAUCACUAUGCGUUAGCGAUAGUUGUAGAAGCAAUAGUUGGCGAGACGACCAGGACCCUACAAAGGAGAUCAAGGUGUCAAGCCGAUGAUGAUGGAGAUCAUGACGGUGCUUUGGAGAUGGAGAUCAAAGGUGCAAGAUGAUGAUGGCCAUAUUAUGCCACAUAUUUUGAUUGCAUGUGAUGUUUAUCUUUUAUGCAUCUUAUUUUGCUUAGUACAGCGGUAGCAUUAUAAGAUGAUCCCUCACUAAAAUUUCAAGGUAUAAGUGUUCUCCCUGAGUAUGCACCAUUGCGACAAUUCACCAUGCCGAGACACCACGUGAUGAUCGGGUGUGAUAAGCUCUACAUUCAUAUACAAUGGGUGCAAGAAAGUUUUGCACAUGCGGAAUUCUCGGGUUAAACUUAACGAGCCUAGCAUGUACAGACAUGGCCUCGAAACACUGGAGACCAAAAGGUCGAACAUGAAUCAUAUAGUAGAUAUGAUCAACAUAGAGAUGUUCACCGUUGAUGACCACUCCAUCUCACAUGAUGAUCGGACAUGGUUUAGUUGAUUUGGAUCGCGUAUCAUUUUGAUGACUUAAGUGGGAGUUCUUAAGUAAUAUGAUUAAUUGAACUUAAUUUAUCAUGAACUUAGUCCUGAUAGUUUUUGCAUAUCUAUGUUGUAGAUCAAUGGCCCAUGCUACCGUACCCUUGAAUUUUAAUGCGUUCCUAGAGAAAGCUAAGUUGAAAGAUGAUGGUAGCAACUACACAGACUGGAUCCGUAACUUGAGGAUUAUCCUCAUUGCUGCACAAAAGAAUUAUGUCCUUGAUGCAACGCUAGGUGACAAGCCCCCUCCCGCUAAUUAGACGCUUUGAACGUCUGGCAGACUCGGUCUGAUGACUACUCUAUAGUUCAGUGUGCCAUGCUCUACGGCUUAGAAUCAAGACUUCAAAGAUGAUUUGAACGUCAUGGACCAUAUGAGAUGUUCUAGGAAUUGAAGUUAAUAUUUCAAACAAAUGCUCGAGUUGAGAGAUAUGAAGUCUCCAACAAGUUCUAUAGCUGCAAGAUGGAGGAGAAUAGUUCUGCCAGUGAACACAUACUCAGAAUGUCUGGGUAUCAUAAUCACUUGACUCAGCUGGGAGUUAAUCUUCUGGAUGAUAGUGUUAUUGACAGAGUUCUUCAAUCACUGCCACCAAGCUACAAAGGCUUCGUGAUGAACUAUAAUAUGCAAGGGAUGGAUAAGAGAAUUUCCGUGCUCUUCACUAUGCUCAAAGCUGCGGAGGUAGAAAUCAAGAAAGAUAAUCAAGUGUUGAUGGUUAACAAGACCACUAGUUUCAAGAAAAAAAGGCAAGGGAAAGAAGGGGAACUUCAAGAAGAAUGGCAAGCAAGUUGUCACUCCCAGGAAGAAGCCCAAGUCUGGAACCAAGCCUGAAACUGAGUGCUUCUACUGCAAAGGGACUCGUCAUUGGAAGUAGAACUGCUCCAAGCAUUUGGCGGAUAAGAAGGAUGGCAAAGUGAACAAAGGUAUAUUUGAUAUACAUGUUAUUGAUGUGUACCUUACCAAUGCUCGUAGUGCCGCCUUGGUAUUUGAUACUGGUUCUGUUGCUCAUAUUUGCAACUCGAAACAGGGGCUACAGAUUAAACGAAGAUUGGCUAAGGACAAGGUGACGUGCGCGUCGGGAAUGGUUCCAAGGUCGAUGUGAUCGCCGUCGGCAUGCUACCUCUACAUCUACCUUUGGGAUUAGUUUUAGACCUGAAUAAUUGUUAUUUAGUGCCAGCGUUGAGCAUGAACAUUAUAUCUGGAUCUUGUUUGAUGUGAGAUGGUUAUUCAUUUAAAUCGGAGAAUAAUGGUUGUCCUAUUUAUAUGAGUAAUAUCUUUUAUGGUUAUGCACCCUUCAAGAGUGGUCUAUUUUUGUUGAAUCUCAAUUGUGGUGAUACACAUAUUCAUAAUAUUGAUGUUCAAAGAUGCAAAGUUGAUAAUGAUAGUGCAACAUAUUUGUGGCACUGCCGUUUAGGUCAUAUUGGUGUAAAGCGCAUGAAGGGACUCCAUGUGGAUGGACUUUUGGAAUAACUUCAUUAUGAAUCAUUUGAUGCUUGUGAACCAUGCCUCAUGGGCAACAUGACAAAAACUCCAUUCUCCGGAACAAUGGAGCGAGCCACUGACUUACUGGAAAUAAUACAUACCGAUGUAUGCGAUCCGAUGAGUGUUCAGGCUCGCAGCGGGUAUCGUUAUUUUUUGACCUUCACAGAUGAUUUGAGCAGAUAUGGGUAUAUCUACUUAAUGAAACACAAGUCUAAAAUAUUUGAAAAGUUCAAAGAAUUUCAGAGUGAAGUGGAGAAUCAUCGUAACAAGAAAAUAAAGUUUCUACGAUCUUAUCGUGGAGGCGAAUAUUUGAGUUACGAGUUUGGCCUUCAUUUAAAACAAUGUGGAAUAGUAUCACAACUCACACUACCUGGAACACCACAGCGUAAUGGUGUGUCCGAACGUCGUAACCGUACUUUAUUAGAUAUGGUGCAAUGUAUGAUGUCUCUUACCAAUUUACCACUAUCAUUUUAGGGUUAUGCAUUAGAGAUAGCUGCAUUCACUUUAAAUAGGUCCCAUCUAGAUCGGUUGAGACGACAACGUAUGAACUGUGGUUUGGCAAGAAACCUAAGCUCUCGUUUCUUAAAGUUUGGGGUUGCGAUACUUAUGUGAAAAAGCUUCAGCCUGAUAAGCUCAAACCCAAAUGGUAGAAGUGUGUCUUCAUCAGAUACCCAAAAGAAACUAUUGGGUACACCUUCUAUCACAGAUCUGAAGGCAAGAUUUUAAUUGCUAAGAAUGGAUCCUUUCUAGAGAAGGAGUUUCUCUCGAAAUAAGUGAGUGAGAGGAAAGUAGAACUUGAUGAGGUAAUUGUACCUUCUCUCGAAUUGGAAAGUAGCUCAUCACAGAAAUCAGUUUCGGUGAUGCCUACACCAACUAGAGAGGAAGCUAAUGAUAAUGAUCAUGAAACUUCAAGUUACUACCGAACCUCGUAGGUCAACCAGAGCAUGUUCCGCACCUGAGUGGUACGGUAAUCCUGUUCUGGAAGUCAUGCUAAUAGACCAUGAUGGACCUACAAACUACGAGGAAGCGAUGAUGAGCCCAGAUUCCGCAAAAUGGCUUGAGGCCAUGAAAUCUGAGAUAGGAUCCAUGUAUGAGAACAAAGUAUGGACUUUGGUUGACUUGCCCGAUGGUCAGCAAGCCAUAGAGAAUAAAUGGAUCUUCAAGAAGAAGACUGACGUUGAUGGUAAUGUCACUGUCUAUAAAGCUCGACUUGUUGCGAAAGGUUUUUCACAACUUCAAGGGGUUGACUACAAUGAGACUUUCACACCCGUACGAUCUUAAGUCUCUCCGAAUCAUGUUAGCAAUUGCCACAUUUUAUGAUUAUUAAAUCUGGCAAAUGGACGUCAAAACUGCAUUCCUUAAUGGAUUUCUCAAAGAAGAGUUGUAUAUGAUGCAACCAGAAGGUUUUGUCGAUCCAGAAGGUGUUAACAAAGUGUGCAAGCUCCAGCGAUCCAUUUAUGGACUGCUGCAAGCAUCUCGGAGUUGGAAUAUAUGCUUUGAUAGUGUGAUCAAAGCAUAUGGUUUUAUACAGACUUUCGUAGAAGACUGUAUUUACAAGAAAGUGAGUGGGAGCUCUGUAGCAUUUCUAAUAUUAUAUGUGGAUGACAUAUUGUUGAUUGGAAAUGAUAUAGAAUUUCUGGAUAGCAUUAAAGGAUACUUGAAUAAGAGUUUUUUAAUGAAAGACCUCGGUGAAUCUGCUUAUAUAUUAGGCAUCAAGAUCUAUAGAGAUAGAUCAAGACGCUUAAUUAGACUUUCACAAAGCACAUACCUUGAUAAAUUUUUGAAGAAGUUCAAAAUGGAUCAGUCAAAGAAAGGGUUCUUGCCUGUGUUACAAGGUGUGAAGUUGAUUCAGACUCAAUGCCCGACCACUUCAGAAGAUAGAGAGAAAAUGAAAGUCAUUCCCUAUGCCUCAGCCAUAGGAUCUAUCGUGUAUGCUAUGCUGUCUAUCAGACCUGAUGUGUGCCAUGCUAUAAGUCUAGCAGGGAGGUACCAAAGUAAUCCAAGAGUGGAUCACUGGACAGCGGUCAAGAACAUACUGAAGUAGCUGAAAAGGACUAAGGAUAUGUUUCUCGUUUUUGGAGGUGACAAAGAGCUCGUCGUAAAUGGUUACGUCGAUGCUAGCUUUGACACUGAUCCAGAUGACUCUAUGUCACAAACCAGAUACAUAUUUAUAUUGAAUGGUGGAGCUGUCAGUUGGUGCAGUACCAAGCAAAGCGUCGUGGCGGGAUCUACGUGUGAAGCGGAGUACAUAGCUGCUUCGGAAGCAGUGAAUGAAGGAGUCUGGAUGAAGGAGUUCAUGUCCGAUCUAGGUGUAAUACCUAGUGCAUCGGGUCCAAUUAAAAUCUUUUGUGACAAUACUGGAGCAAUUGCCUUGGCGAAGGAAUCCAGAUUUCACAAAAGAACCAAACACAUCAAGAGAUGCUUCAACUCCAUCUGUGAUCAAGUCAAGGAGGGAGACAUAGAGGUUUGGAAAAUACAUACGGAUCUGAAUGUGACAGACAUGUUGACUAAGCCUUUUCCACGAGCAAAACAUGAUCAGCACCAAGAAUCCAUGGGUGUUAGUAUCAUUACAAUGUAAUCUAGAUUAUUGACUCUAGUGCAAGUGGGAGACUGAAGGAAAUAUGCCCUAAAGGCAAUAAUAAAGUUGUUAUUUAUAUUUCCUUAUACCAUGAUAAAUGUUUAUUAUUCAUGCUAGAAUUGUAUUAACCGGAAACUUGAUACAUGUGUGGAUACAUAGACAAAACAAAGUGUCCCUAGUAAUCUUCUACUAGACUAGCUCGUUAAUCAAAGAUGGUUAAGUUUCCAAGUCAUAGACAUGUGUUGUCAUUUGAUGAACGGGAUCACACCACUAGGAGAAUGAUGUGAUGGAGAAGAUCCAUUCGUUAGCUUAGCAUAAUGAUCGUUAAGUUUUAUUGCUUUUGCUUUCUUCAUGUCAAAUACAUAUUCCUUCGACUAUGAGAUUAUGCAACUCCCGGAUACCGGACGAAUACCUUGUGUGCUAUCAAAAAAAACAUAACUGGGUGAUUAUAAAGAUGUUCUACAGGUAUCUCCGAAGGUGUUUGUUGGGUUGGCAUAGAUCAAGAUUAGGAUUUGUCACUCCGAGUAUCAAAGAGGUAUCUCUGGGCCCUCUCGGUAAUGCACAUCAUGAUAAGCCUUGCAAGCCAUGUGACUAAUGAGUUAGUUGCGGGAUGAUGCAUUACGGAACGAGUAAAGAGACUUGUCGGUAACGAGAUUGAACUAGGUAUGAAGAUACCGACGAUCGAAUCUCGGGCAAGUAACAUAUCGAUGACAAAGGGAAUAACGUAUGUUGUCAUUACGGUACGGCCGAUAAAGAUCUUUGUAGAAUAUGUGGGAACCAAUAUGAGCAUCCAGGAUCCACUAUUGGUUAUUGACCGGAGAGGUGUCUCGGUCAUGUCUACAUAGUUCUCGAACCCGUAGAGUCCGCACGCCUAACGUUCAAUGAUGAUUUUGUAUUAUAUGAGUUAUGUGAUUUCGUGACCGAAUGUUGUUUCGAGUGCCAGAUGAGAUCACGGACAUGAUGAGGAGUCUCGAAAUGGUCGAGAGGUAAAUAUUCAUAUAUAGGACGAUAAUAUUUGGACACCGGAAGUGUUCCGGGAGUACCGGGUACAUAUCGGGUCAACGGAAGAGGUUCCGGGCAACCCCCGGCAAGCUAUAUGGGCCUAAUGGGCCAAGAGAGGGACAUACGAGCCCUGAAAAGGGCUGGGGUGCCCCCCUAUAGGCCGAAUAGGAGGAGAAGGAAAGUGGAGGAUUCGUCCUCCCCUUUCGUUCCCCUCCCCCCUCUCUUUCCUUCCCCCUCCGAUGGAUAUGCAAGGGGGGAGGACGACUUGGAGACUCCUACUUGGGCGCCCCUUGCAGCCCCUCUCCCUCUCCCACCUAUACAUAUGUGGGGGGGGGGGGCACCGCUAGAACACACAACAUUAAUUCCUAGCCGUGUGCGGCGUCCCCCUCUACAGUUUACGCCUCCGGUCAUAUUGUCGUAGUGCUUAGGCGCAACCCUGCACGGAUCACUUCACCAUCACUGUCAGCACGCCGUCGUGCUGACGAAACUCCCCUCGACACUUUGUUGGAUCAAGAGUUCGAGGGACGUCAUCGAGUGAACGUGCGCAGAACUCGGAGGUGUUGUACGUUCGGUGUUUGAUCGGUCAGAACGAGAAAAAGUUCGACUACAUCAUUCGCGUUGUCAAACGCUUUCGCUUUCGGUCUACGAGAAUACGUGAACACAUUCUCACCCUUUUGUUGCUAUGCAUCUUCUAGAUAGAUCUUGCGUAAGCGUAGGAUUUUUUUUGAAAUUGCAUGCAACGUUUCCCAAUACCACGUGGGAUGGUCUUGCCGGACCCUCUUGUCGGCCUCUUCGCCCUUUGUUGAUGGUUUAGUCGCUACAGCUGAGACGUGCAGGGUGCUCGCAUGUUCCAGCUCGUGUGACGCCCAAGCCCUCCACGUCUGUCUAGGUGUCCUGACUCGAUGGUCCAUGAUGGGUGGACCACAGCCUCUGUCGGGGCCAUGAUGUGCGGUGGCAUGUGUCGCGCCCAAAAGCAAGAGGAUAACUGCAUGCACAUUUCGUCGUCUUCACCUCCACCGGGCUAGUUUGGUCGCUACAUUUGGGGCGUGCGAUGCGCUGUUUGCACCAGCUAAUGUGUUGCUUAUGCCUGCUGCUUGGACGGUUGGGUUGGACCAGCUUCAACGUAUCAAGAUUUUAUUAUUAUUUUGUGCUAUUAUAUUAUCAUAUAUAUAUAUAUAUAUAUAUAUAUAUAUAUAGAUAUAUAUAUUUUAUAGCAGUUUCUAUUAAUUUUAUGGACUAACCUAUUAGUUCCCGUUUUCUGCAUGUUUUAUCAAUAUCUUGGAAUCUCAAAAAACAGUGCCAAUUUAACAUGAUUUUUUUUGGGCAACAAAGGACCCAUCAAGCUUCGGGAAGGAAUGAGAGGAGCCACAGGGGGGCCACUAAAUCCUAUAAAUAUCAAAACAUCUUAUUUUUAGAAGAAUUUUUCCGCCUCCACAAGUUCCUUUUUAGCGAAGAUCUAAUCCAGAGGCCCGUUCGGGUGUUCUGCCAGAGGCUUCUUCCUCAACGUGGCUGCCUCCAUCAGUUUGUGUGAGUAGUUCCAUUAGGACCAUAGGGUCCAUGGUAGUUGCUGGAUGAUUCUCUCUCUUUUGGAUCUUCAAUACCAUGUGUCCCGUGAGCUACCUGACAUGAUCGGAUCAAUUCGAUAUAAUCGGUGGAGUGUUUGUUAUGAUAAAUUUCCACUUUAAACAUGGUCAUAAAACGGCUGCUACUCUACAAUGUUUCUCAUUGUUCUUGUUGAAUAAAAUUAGUAUCUUCAAGACCGUACAGUACUGUAGAUAUUACCUUAUAGGAGAUACUAUAAGUUUUUUCAAUCAUUUUCAUAUUUCUGGUGAUGUUAAGAGUAACCGAUGUACCAGAAUUCAAGGAUGCGACCACCCCGAGAAAUAUGUAUAUAGAUCAACUUCCAUACCGCCUUACAAACUGAAACUAGUGAAGCCAUCGUUGAUUGCUAGUUAGUGGUCAUUUUAGUUCACAUCUAAAGGUUGAACCUUGUUCAUGUAUACUAAAAGAACCUAUCUGUAAGUAUGAGAGCAUGGAUUUUGAUGAUUUUGAGGUGCUUGAUCCUUGGCUCUAAGUCAAUUAUAGUGGUGAAUGCUCCUAACAGAUUAAAAAGCUAUAACUACUAGGAAAGGCUUUAGGUGGGGUCACGUUAUUGGCGGGCACCAAUAGGUACAUGCCACCGCUAUUUCGGCCAGCCAACAUUGGUGGGUACAAAAGAGGGCUGACAACAGGUAUUGGAUCUGCAAUGGCGGGCGAAAAAUGCCAUCCUUCACUAGUAAAUUCUUACCGUGUUAGUCAUGGGCUAAAUGUUUCGGUGGCAAACAUAUACUUCCUCCGUCUCAAAAUAAGUGUCUCAACUUUGUACUAUCUCUAGUAUAAAUUUGUACUAAGCUCAAGACACUUAUUUUGAGACGGAGGGAGUACUUGUCAACCACCACUGCUAGCUCAUUUUGUAGUAGUGUAUACUAUUAUCGAGUUGGUGGAUCAAUUAUGCUAAAGUUGUGUACAAUGCAACUUCCUGCUUAGUGGUGUAGGACAAAAUUAAGAGACAUUUACUUAGUUGUUGUUUUUACAAAAAAUAAUACUAAUAAUACGCAGCAGAGUCCUGCUGUUUCCCCCAAAAAACAUUUACUUAGUUGCUUGCGAGUCUGCGCAAUAUGGUAGAUAAGUUAGGACUUUUUUGUCUUUCCUGAAAUUUAAUUUGCAAUAUUUCAUCCGUCUUCGUUUACGUUACAAAUUGUAACACCUCAGUAUUUGAGUAAUUUGAUUUCUCCAUGCAAUAAAUACUUAAGUUAUUAAUACGUUAUCCAGCUAAAUUUGAAGAACCAAAAUAGAGUAGACUAUGCUUCAGUAUGAGCAUUUGAUGGCAAUAGUAUAAUACAAUGUAUUUAACCAUCAAAAUAUAAAUCCGCAGACGCGCGCGCAUGUGUGUGUGUGUGUGUGUGUGUGUGUGUGUGUGUGUGUGUGUGUGUGAAUAAAAACAGAACCAUUCAAAAAAUUACACGUGUCAUAAAUUAGUUAGAUGCAAGGCUGGUACUGAUAUAAAGAACAAGCGACAAACCAGAUGUGGAUAGAAUGCUCACCAAUGCACACGUUUUUAAUGUCUGCUAAGCUUUUCACAUAACAAUGAGUUUUCAGUUCUAGGGUUUCUAUCUAAACGAUAUGCACACGUGUGAAGCUUUCUGCAAUUGACUUUUAGGGUUCUACGCAAUUGGUUUGGGUGGCAACAACCAAAUCUAUUCCCAAAAGAGGCCAAAAGUGGCAUAUGUGAUUUAUGACAAAGAAAGCAUGAGAUACAAGAAAGAUGCAAUUUUAUUAUUGAGUGUAAAGUUAGCAAAGCUUUUUUUGGGGGAAGGUUAGCAACGAUUUUGACCUAGUAGCUAUGUUAUCUGGUAACCUGGUGCGAAAUUCAAUCAUCUUGUUGCUUUUUUUUUUGAGAGAAACAUAAGGACUCUGCUGCGUAUUUUUAUUGAUUUUCAAAAAAAAUAUACAGAAGUGGAUUGAACCAGAGGUUCAACUGGAAAAAAGAACUAUACAGAAUAAGAGAAAAAUCAUCUUAUUGAUUCUCCAUAGCUAGUGGGCCUGAACCUUUCAAGAACAUCAUCGGUUGUCCUCUAAACUUAUCUUAGACUAACCUUACACAAGGCAAGUGUAAUACAUCUAGAUAUGGGUCGUACUAGAUCAACUACGUUUGCAAUCCUAAUCCCAGGAAUAACCCAAUCAGAAAAUACCUAAAAUCACUAGUAAUUUCAUGAUGCAACAAGAUCAUGUACAUGGAAGAAAAUAAGGAUAUGCUAUACUGCAAAUCCAAGAGAUAAGUACUACAACAGAAUGCCACAAAUAUUAUUAUAAAAAUAUCUCAUGUAAGACAACUAAUAACUUUGUACUUCAAAUAUGGUCGUACAAUGAUUGCUACUGCACAUUUUUAAAGAUUAUUCUUAUUGAAUAAAAUUAAUAUACUGAAGACCUUCCACUACUUUAGAUAUCACCACACAUGAGUUGUUGUAGUUUUCUAGACAUUUGGAUACAUCUAAUACUGUUAAGACUGGUCGAUGUACCGAAAUGAGGGCCAUGAUCCCCCAAGAAAUCUGGAUAAAGAUUAAUGUUCAUGCCGCCUUCGUGACAUCAACAAGUGAAGCCGUCGGGGAUUUGAAUAUUAGUGGCCAUUUAUAGUUUAGUUAUAAAGGUUACAACAAACUUUGUUCAUGAUAUACUACAACAACCUCGCCCUUGUAUGACAUGAGAGUAUGGACUUUUAUGAUUUUCACGGUCGUUCGAUCCUUGAGUACGGUUUCCUGAAUUUGGAAUUUGGAAUUUGCAUAUUUCAUACGUCUUCGCUUUGCAUUAAAAAUUGUAACAACAUCGGUGUUUGAGAAAUAUUUUCUCUCUUCACCUCAAAUCAAUUAUCUCAAACACCACACCAAAGACCAAACAACAUAUUGAUUAACUAAUGGAGUAAAUUGAUUAUAUGAUUUGUAUUCAAAAUACAUUAUGGUAACAUAAGACAAGAGUGCACCCACACCAAAACAAAACACAAGACAAGAGUAAACAGAUUACAUGAUUGGUAAAAGGAAACAACAUGAUGAUAAACAACACCACAGUAAACCCAUUACAUGGCAGCGACACAUGAGAACAACAAUGAAAAUAGAUAUGUAACUUAUAUGAUAGAUAGAUUCAGAUUGCCUCUGGAUUAUGAUGGCAUACGACUAUGGGAUCUCGGUGCAUAUUGCGCACGGCCGAGGCUAAACAGGAGGAGAAUCAGAGAAGUACCACGGUUUGGUGAAAUUGUCAUCAGUCCCUUCUGUUGGAGCACUAGGAGUGACGGGAACGACGAAGAACUUGGGUUUUUUGAACACCAGGUGGCGAGACGGAGCCCUUAGGGGUUCCCUUGAGGAGCUUAAGCAGCUUUCCGCCUGCGCCACGAUCUGCAUCCGUCGGAUCGGCUGCUGUGGCUGUGGAGCAGGUACGUCCGCCAGCUGCAGGCCGAGACGUGCUCGUGCCGGAAGCGGCAUGUGCAGGAACGAGUAUGCAGGCACCGGUGGGGUGUAGCCGGCGGGCGCUUCAAAGGGGAAGGGGAAGUAAACUACCAGCUUGGGCGGCGGUGGAGGCGGUGUUGUGGGAUCCGGUGGCAACGUAACGACCUCAAAGAGCGGUGUAUCGUGACCAUGGCUGCGGUGCCUCGGUGCAGCGAUCACCUCCUUAACCAGUCUGGCCGGCGGAGGGUAGGGGAAGUUGAGCUUUGCCUUUGUGCGCUUUAGCUCCCUAGCCGCGAGGUCGUAGGCGCACGCGGCGACCUCGGGGGAGGAGUACGUCCCCAGCCACAACAACGUCUUCGUCACGGGGUGCUUGAUCGUUGCGGCGAACUUCCCUCCCCCUUCUUUCUCACUCCAGUUAACUUGAUGUUCUCACCCGCCGCUGCGGCUGCCAUGGCCUCUACCACAGUCGAACGGAGGUGGAUGCCCUUUGAGGUGGAUGCCGGAUGUGUGCAAGACGAUGGGGUUUAAUAGCGGGUCUUGCGCAGCUCACCCUGCCGGCAUCAUGCCGUGCGUUGCGUACGUACGUUUCAGCUUCACUGGAACCAC
rnacentral:lncRNA from 1 species